AACUAUUAUUUAAUAAUUCUCACGCCCUCUGUUUUGUGCUUUCUUUACAGAGCCCUCUACACCGGUGGAGGCACGGGAUCGUGGCAAGGGAGUUACCUAGCUAGAUAGGGAGGAGGUUACUUGUCACGCCCCGCCCCGAAACCAAUACCAAUUUGGCACGAUUCGGCUGCGGCGACGGACCGCCGAACGGACAGCACCUCCCUUGUCCGCCCAAGGCUCAACGACAGGAAUGUGUACAAGAAUUUACCCAGGACUUUAAAUUCUAAACAUACACAUUCAACGAGGGCACAAACAGUGCCAACAACAAGAAGAGCAAGUAAUCCACAAGAUAUACGAGUGAAAUAAAGAGAGUACUUUACUAACUAUUACAAUAGUUGCAUUCUUUACAUUUACAUCAUUUUCCCAAAAUGAAUACACUUGAUCCUCGAAAUACAUAGCUUUUCAACCUCACCUACAUGAAUCUCUCUCUAUACAUAGGUGUGCUAAUGCAAAAGGAAAGCUACUAUACUAUCACGGCCUCACUGAUCAGGCGCGACGCCCUUGCCGCGGUCCUCUCUCUGCAGCCCUGAACCUACCACUGGAAAUAGAGUGGGGUGAGAACUAUCUUCCAUAGUUCCCAGUGGGCUCGGCCGCCGACUCUGCCGAUCUCCCCACUAGGUCCAAGUGGGCACAAGUAACAACAGAUAGAUAGAUAGAUAGAUAUGUAUCUGAAAGCUGUAAAUGCAGUAGUAGGAAAACUAUGCUACUAUGCCCAUAAUCAUGAAUAUGAAUGCAUGCAUCAUAUAAUAAAGGUUUGCUACCAUGCUAACAAAUUCGAUCCAUGUUCGAAUAGCAAUGUUCAAUGACAUUAAUAAACCUUUAACCUUUUCAUUUACCCAAUCUGUGGCGAGGCCCUAGGGCUCGCCCAUGACUCACCUUCAAAUCCCAAAGUGGGGAGGGAGCUCCAAGUGCACCCAAGCCCGAGACCGUCUGCGGACGUCCAUGUGGUCCGGACCUCCAAGUGGUCCUAGUCGCGCGACACUCCGGAGUACUCGACGACAAUCCCCUCCAUGUGGGGAUUGGAUGGCUAUACCAUCCUAAACGCAGACUGUGAGCUAGAUCUAUCCUCUCCAAGUGAGGAUACACUGUAACUAGGGUCUACACCCAAUCCAAUCCUCUCCAAGUGAGGAGGCUCUACAACUAGAGUCAAUAACCCAAUCGAAUCCUCUCCAAGUGAGGACGCCCUACACUAGGGUCAACGACUAUCGCGGAAUCAUCGGUUCCCGACAUUCAUGUAAUGCUAUUUAGUUUUCUAAAUUCAUUGUUCACAAGGCAUUUUCUAAGGGAUCCACUUAUCCCUAGGUCCAUCGACCUCUAGUGUUAUUUACACUACAUUAAUGCCACUCGUUAUCAUUCAAUGUUUGGAUGCCACUCGUUUGUUCUUUAACAAUAACACUACUUUCUAUGUCAUCAACACUCCUAUCGGGUUCAUCUCUAUCUUUAGCAUCAUAGGAUCCACCUUCCGACCCAAUCCUCACCUAUCUAGUUACCAAGCGUUCCAAGUACACUAAGUCAUCAAUUAGAAAGCAUAAGGAAUGGAGCUACUAAGCAAUCCUACAAUGCAACAUGAAGAGAUGAGAUUAAAUGCAAUCUAAGACAUAGAAAGGAGUUCGAAAGUUUCGGAUGACACCCCCCACCUUUAAUCGAUGUAGAGGCUUGGAAAAUCCUUCUCGGCGAGCUCUACGAAAAGGCUUUAGCCUUCCUCGCCCGAAUCAACACUAGCCCGGCCCGAUUUUGCCGAGAACUUCACGUCGGUUCGCCGAAUGCCGAAAUCGACUUCGCCCCCGCGUUUUGUGACCUAUCAAUAGGGUUUCCAAGGCUUCAAAUGAGACCAAUCUCAUACUUAUACAAAAACCCCAUUUUGGAGCCCUAGGUUUGCACCUAUAGCAAACCACCCAAUAAAUCCCUAGAUUCUUGGGAUUGAUCUAUUUAGAAGCUAGCUUAGGGUCCAUUUGACCCAAUCCAAGGCAUAAAAUCCAAAAACUCUAAGUUUACAAAGCUAGGGUUUAGUAGCUUACCUCAAGAGCUACACCAAUGGGAAGAGGAGAGGGAGAUGGAGGUGCUCAAAGCCUUCCUCUUGAUCUCCUUCUUCUUCUCCUUCCUUAUCUUCCUUUUUUUUUCCUUCCUCUCCUUCUUAUUCUUCUUCUCCUUCUUUCCUUUCUAGAGAGAGAGAGAGGGAGCAAGAGAGAAAUGAGAGUGAGGGAGAGUGGAAUGAGAGAGUGUGAGGGAGAGAGAGGGCUCAGCCCACUCAAAUAAAAGCCAUUUUGCAUAAAAGCCCCUCAACUUUCCCUCCUGUGCACUGCCCUCACUAGGCAGUUUUCGCGCGGAGGGACCGGUCUCCCCGACUUGGGACCGGUCCCCGAGAGCUUCCCUCGGGCGCACGCGUUCGGGAACCGGUCUCUCCCCGGGAGACCGGUCCUCGGGAGACCGGUCCUCACCUGAGAGACCGGUCCCCAAGAGCUUGAUUUUCAGGACUUAGCCAAUUUUUGGCAUCUCUCGCUGGGACCACGUUCGGGAACCGGUCCCCCCCUACCAGGGACCGGUUGCGUCAUGCAACCCCGCUACAACAAGCCAGGGGAACCGGUCUCUUACUUGCAGAGACCGGUCCCCGAGAGCAACAUCAGCCCAAUGAUGCAAUUUGCCUCAUUUGCUCUCGCGGACUCAACUCCAAGGCACUUUUUGUGCUUUGGACAUUCCCAACUCCCACAAAGGGUAUACUUUUGACAAUUAGUCGAUCCUGGAUGAAGUACAAUCCUCAUAUUUCGAGAAUUCACUUCCUUACAUUACUUUUGUUUAGGUAGUUUUCUCUCUUUUGUGUUUUGUUGAGAGAGAGAGAGAUUUUGUAUCCAUGUAUAAAGACCACCUCUGUAUUACCUUCAGUUUAUGUACUCGGGUUUUGUUAUUGUACUACCUUAUGGUUUUAUUUAGUGGAUCUAGCUCUUUACUUAUUUUCUUUUCCUUGUCAUAGAUACUAGAUGUUGUAUACUCUGAUAUCUCUAGAUCUCUUCGUGUUGUUGCUUUAUUUAUUACCUUAUUGUAGACGCCUUAUAUAUUUUAGACGUAUGGCGGGUCUGGACACGCGCCGGGCGGGCUUCCGCUGUGUCCCGGGGCGUGACAGAUCAUGUCUAUGAUGUUCAUAAUGCUACAAUAAGUGACGAUACAUCUCAUUACUAUUCUAACCAUACAUUAUGCCAAUCAAUAUAAGUGUAACAUACUACCACUAGGGUGUCAAUGCUAACAAUGACUAACAUAAGGUCCACAUAUGCACUAUCAUGCAUAUCCACUAGUCCAACUGAUAUAAAUCAUCUAGUAGUAGUUUUCACAUUACACUUUAGGUUUCGUAGUUCAAUCCUCAUCAUGGAUCUACACAUGUGUAGUCCGGCUUGUGCCGUGCCAAAAAUGGCCCCGUAGUAGUCAACAUUCCCACUCUAGGAAUGAGCCUCCCCCACGGCAUCCCAUUUCAGCGCCCAAUCCCGCACGGGCGAGCUUGUGUCACAUAGGCUAUCUCCGGAGUGCCACCUUGUGGGGAGCGACCCUCACAAGAAUGUGUGAAUGAGCACAAAGGCAAGCAAGCGUGAUCAAUAGUAUCCAACUCUCGGUCAUCAUGUCUAAAAUAUGGAAUAAGUGGCAAUGACCCUAAAGGUCCCAUAUAGUAUUACGAUGUCAAGGUUUAUCAUUUAUUAACCCAAAUGUCACUACAUGACGUUCAUGAUUACUAUGUCAAGUAACAGUCACUAGUUCAAAUGCACACAACCAUUGCCAUUAUCCUAUCUAGGGUAGUUCACUUUUGUCCAAGUCUCAAUGAGAGUUCACACUUAGUCUAUUCCACUAAAGCUAAGGAAGUCACUUUCUUAUGGUGUAUGCAUAGUUACCACUAAUUAUUUAUAAUGCUCAUGAUGCAAGCCAUGCACAUAUAUCUUCCUACCCAUACCUCCACCUUAUGGAGUAAUAACAAUUAUGCGAGUGCUUUCAUUCAAUAAUGCCAUAUGCAAAUAUUCAACUAGAAUGAAUGUUCCAACUUGGUUUCUUAUAGAUCUUACAUGUACUACGUUACCAUGCCCCAACUACUUGCCUACAACAAGUGUGAUAUUGUCAUGCAAAUAUAUGCUAAGUCUCAUUCAUGCACAUGUCUAAGUCAUGUAGUUAUGCUAUCAAUCUCAAGGUCAACACCGUGUUAGUUACUAGGUCACAAUACCCUAUUUUCUUGUCUACACAAGUAUAUUAUUUAAUAUGUAAGAUGAUCACUUUACUAAACCGAUAAGUCGAGAUCCCCUAAGGGUCAUACCAUCAUUCAUGCUCUAACAUGCUUUCUAAGGUUGCAUAAAAGAGAAUUCACCAAAUAGGGCUAAUUCAUGCACAAGCUCACAUAAGAGAUUCUACUACAUAGAGCAUCAAAUUGUCUUUACAUAGCAUAUAUGUAAUGUUUCUCAUAAAUUAUCGCAUGUCAUUUUGAGUAUAAAAAACCAUUUAAUUGGAUCUUAAAACUAAAAGGAGGUUUAGGGGGGAGUUCACCUAUUUUGGUGAGAUCAAACCCAUCGGAAAUACUUCGAACUCUUUCGUAACGCCGAACGAAGUUGUCCCCUAAGAUUCUAGCACCCUAAGAAAAAUUCCAAAGGGGUUAAAAGUUACAAAACAACUACUUCAAAAAUUACACAUACAAGGUGUAAAAUAUACCUUGAGUCAAGAAGAACUUGAUCAAAGCCGAAAUCGAAGCUUGAAAAUUUCAAAUCCAAACUAUAAGAGUGUUCUACACUCAUCAAUUCCAACCCUAAAGCCUCAAAUCAAGAAACCCAAAAUAAAAUUCUAGAUUUCUCAUUUCUAGGUUUUAUCUCAAAAAUUCCACUAAAUCAAGAAUCAAAAUAGGGAAACAUGUUUCUAACCUAUCUAAAAGCUUCAAACAAGACUUGGAAUGAGCUAGGGUUGAAGAUCUCUCCUCCAACAAGCUUUUUACCAAGCUCCAAGCCUUCUCCAAAGGUGCAAAGUCCCCAAAAUGCAAAAUAGAGCAAAGAGGGGAGAUCAAAACCUAAAAUCCCAAGCAAAAAGGGAAGAAAAACUAAGGGAAAAAUAGAGUGGAGCUCACCUCUCCCUUUUCUAGUCGCAGCCCAAAAGCCCUUGUCCAAGGGGUGAGGGUGUAUAUAAGUUAUUGCGACAAAAGCGAAAAGAUCCUUCAAAAACUGCCAGACUGCAGUUUACACUGUGUACCGGUUCACGAAAAAGUGUAUCGUUACAAACUACUGUGCGCGCAAACCCGAGCCUCGGGUUGGCGGAAAACAACCCAUCUAUACCGGUACAAUCAUUAAGGUGUAUCGGUACAAAACCCGUUCCGGUACAACCAUUAAGGUGUACCGGUACACUUUCCUGCAGAGACAAACCCGAGAGCAACCCAAUAAUCUUCACUUUGGAGAUAUUAGUGCUAAGUUUAAACCUCGAUUCUCGAAAUACGAGCCAUAGGUCGGAACACUGUCGACGACCCUCCAGAAAGUCUGGAAAAAACUCAGAUCACAAAUCAAACACUCGAACCUCGCAAUUUGCAAAAGUUUAGUGUGUUACAAUUUGGCUAAAGUCCGGAUUACUUUACCGAAGUUUCGGUAUGUUACAUUCUCCACCCCUUAAAAUUAGUUUCGUCCGCGAAACUAACUUAAUUAACAUCUAGAUUUAUACCUUAAUCCAGAUUCUCGAAGAGAUGGGAAUAAUGCUCUCUUAUUGCACUCUCGAGCUCCCAAGUAGCUUCCCGAUCAUCGUGGUUCUUCCAACAAACUUUAACAUAUGAAAUCUCACGGAUUCCUAGUUUUCUUACUUCUCGAUCGAUGAUGUACGUCGGGAACUCUUCAUAAGUCAUAUCCUCUUGAAUCUCGGACGGUUCAAAUGAGAGAAUAUGCUUGGGAUCGUGAAUAUACUUGCGGAGAUUCGAUACAUGAAACACAUCGUGCACUCCCGCAAGCCUCGGUGGUACUGCUAACUUGUAUGCCACCGUGUCAACACGCUCCAAUAUCUCGAACGGUCCAACGUACCGGGGACUUAGUUUUCCACGGACUCCAAACCGUUUAACUCCCCACAUUGGGAUAUUUUUAGGAGUACGCUGUCUCCAACUGCAAACUCUAUAUCCUUUUUUCGCUUGUUGGCAUAGCUCUUUUGCAAGAAUGCGCCGUAGCAAGCCGUUGGCGGGCAAGGCGAACUUUCUUCUCCGCCUCCCGCACCAUAUCUGGGCCAAGAGUAACUCUCUCGCCCACAUCGCUCCAAUGAAUUUGAGAGCGACACUUCUUUCCAUAAAGGGCCUCGAAUGGCGCCAUCGCGAUAUUUCCUUGAUAACUAUUAUUGUACGCGAACUCCGCCAUCGGUAAAUGAUCAUGCCAUCCGCCCUUGUAGUCAAGUACACACGCUCGAAAUAUGUCCUCAAGUAUUUGUAUCAUCCUCUCCGAUCGACCAUCACUUUGAGGAUGAAAUGCCGUACUAAAAUCGAGCCGUGUGCCCAACGCAUCCUGUAGGCUCCUCCAGAAGUGAGAUAUGACCCUCGGGUCUCGAUCCGAUAUAAUAGACACGGGAACCCCAUGAAGUCUCACUACCUCGUCGAGAUAGACUUGAGCCAUCUUAUCUCCCGACCAUGUAGUAUGAAUCUAUAAAAAGUGCGCCGACUUCGUCAAUCGGUCUACUAUCACCCAAAUUGCAUCGUGUCCGCCUUGAGAUCGAGGCAAUCCGGUCACGAAAUCCAUUGUGAUAUUUUUUCAUUUCCAAACGGGUAUAGGUAGGCUUUGCAACUUUCCUACCGGAAACCGGCGCUCCGCCUUGACUUGUUGGCACGUAAGACAUUCUGCUACAAAUUCCCCAAAGUCUUUCUUCAUGCCCGGCCACUAAUAGUAUACUUUCAAAUCUUGAUACAUCUUGGUGCCGCCGGGGUGAAUACUAUAAGGAGAUUGGUGCGCUUCUUGUAUAAUCGCCUUGCGAAUGUCCUCAUUUUUAGGCACACACCAACGAUUUCUAAACCGGAGUGCGCCGUCGGUCCCAAUGCCAAAAUCAUCUACACUACCGCUCUCAACAUCACCCUGCAUCUUUUGGACAUAAGGAUCAGUAGCUUGUAGAUCUUUAAUCUUCUCCAACAAGGUGGGUUGAACCACCAAUGCCGCAAGUGUUGCUGGCAUUCCUGAAGCUACUACCUCAAGACCAAGUCGUUACAUCUCUUUUUGCAAUAAUGGUUGAGGUGUAAUUGCUGAAGCCAAGUUUUCUCACGAUUUUCUACUAAGUGCAUCGACCACGACAUUUGCCUUCCCGGUUGGUAUAAAAUAGUAACGUUGUAAUCCUUUAAUAGCUCUAACCACCGCCGUUGUCGCAUAUUUAACUCCUUUUGGGUGAACAAGUAUUUAAGGCUCUUGUGAUCCGUAUAGAUCUCACAAUGUUCACCGUACAAGUAAUGCCUCCAUAACUUUAGCGCGAAAAUAACCGCCGCUAGCUCAAGGUCAUGAAUCAGGUAGUUCUUUUCAUAAUUCUUCAAUUGGUGCGAAGCAUAAGCUAUAACUCGCCUAUUUUGCAUCAAGACACACCUGAGACCAACAUAGGAAGCAUCACUGUAUACCACAAUACUCUCCCCCGGCGUCGGUAAGGCAAGCACCUGGGUCGAUGUCAAUCUCUUCUUUAAUUCCUCGAAGCUCCGAUCGUAAUCAUCGCUCCAAACAUACUUAACUCCCUUGUGCGUGAGGCGCGUUAGUGGAGUGGUUAUUUUGGCAAACCCCCCCAUGAACCACCGAUAGUAACCCGCAAGUCCAAGAAAGCUACGGACCUCCGCAACACUUGUCGGGCGAGGCCAAUCUUUAAUUGCCUCUACUUUUUUCGGAUCCACCAAAAUGCCAUCACCCGAAAUCACGUGGCCUAGGAAAGUGACUUAUGAAAGCGAAAACUUGCACUUCUUUAAUUUUGCAUAUAGCUUCUAUUUUCGGAGUAUUUCCAACAUGGUCCUCAAAUGCUCCUCGUGUUCUUCCUCACUCCGUGAAUAAACUAACACGUCGUCAAUAAACACCACGACGCACCGGUCUAGCAACGGUCGAAUGACCCGAUUCAUCAAGUCUAUAAAUGCUGCCGGGGCAUUAGUAAGCCCAAACGGCAUAACCAUGAACUCAUAGUGGCCAUACCGCGUACGGUACGCCGUUUUGUGCACGUCCUGGGGCCGUAUCUUCAACUUAUGAUACCCCGACUGUAAGUCGAUCUUUGAGUACACCCUCGACCCUUGCAAUUGAUCGAACAAAUCAUCAAUCCUCGACAACGGGUACUUAUUUUUAAUUGUCACUUUAUUCAACUCGCUGUAAUCCACGCAGAGUCGUCACUUUAUUCAACUCGCGGUAAUCCACGCAGAGUCGAAAUGUGCAAUCCUUCUUCUUUCCAAAUAGCACCAAAGCUCCCCACGGUGACACGCUCGGCCUCACAAAGCUUUUAUCGAGCAAGUCUUGCAAUUGUGCCUUUAGCUCUCUUAGCUCUGUCGGAGCCAUUCUAUACGGAGCCUUCGAAAUUGGCGCCGCCCCGGGAAUCAAAUCAAUAACGAAUUUGAUCUCCCGGUCCGGUGGCAAUCCCGAUAACUCCGCCGAAAAUACAUCCGAAAACUCGCACGACAACUGAAUAUCACUAAGUUCCGGGUGCUCCUUUUGGGCUUCUACCAUUGUCACCAAAUAGGCUUCACAUCCACCCUUAAUCAUUUUUCUCGCCCUCGUCACCGAUACGGUCACCGCGAAGCGUGAGCUUUUACAUGCCUAAUAUACCAACUCUUCCUGAUUAGGCUCACGAAAUGUGAUCACCUUGCUUUUACAAUCUAUCACGGCAUAAUACUUGGAGAGCCAGUUGAUCCCUAAGAUUACAUCGAAUCCCUACAUUCGCUCUAGCACUAGUAGAUCUAUCAGCAUAAUCCAAUCACCGAUCUGUACUGGACAAGCCAAGCACUCAUCAUGAAUAUGAAACGAAUGCUCUGGAGCAUUUACCCACCAAUAAUCCUGAUUAUACGUGAUCUCCAUGCCAUGAGUUUUUGCAAAUGAUGCACCUAUGAACGAAUGUAAUGCACCUGUGUCGAAUAAAGCUCUAGCUCUAGUGCCUUUAAUCAAAAUUAUACCUGCCACGACAUCAUCUGGUGCUACAGGUUGCUCCUCCAUCUGAGUGGCAAAACCCGCCCACUCGGUGCUCUAGAUGUCUCCGGUUGACGCGAUGCAGAUGAGCGUCCAGCCGACAUCGCUGGGGGCAACCCCGCAAGCUAUCUCAGGGUGGAAGGAACUAAUGCCGCUGUCGGUGCAAACGAUCCCCAACUAGGGCACUCCUAGGCCAUAUGCCCCGGUUGAUCGCACUUGUAACACUUUCCUUCACGCUGCGGGCAGGUCGGCGGUCGAUGCUCACCGCCGCAAAUGAGUAGCGUGUGAGGUGGGUUAAUCAUCGGUUUGACUCCUAUGGGUUAUAUAGUCGACAUGUAUUCGGCACGUGUUUUUGCCUAUCGUAAUUGCUCUAUUCAUUGUUCAGCAUGAUUGAAAUAUGAAUUGGAGCUUAGUAUAUUGACUGUAGAUUCAUACAUAUUGGACUUGGAUAUAACAUAGGAGAAAACCAGUGAUUUGGACCUGUCACCUGCUUAACUACCGGAUUUAGCUUUAGGAGCCAUUGUUAUUUUGUAUCGCCGUAGUAUCAGCGUGGUAGAUACCCCAGAUAGUUUAGAUUACUAUUAUGCUCGUGAUGGGAUGCCAAGCCUAUUUUUACAGUAGUGUUUAGACUAUUCCGGAUUGUUGGAUGCUGUCGAGAUUGACGGUGGACCCAGAUUGCCAUUUUAGUAUCAGAUUAUGCUGAAGGCACGUGACUUGUUAGUUGGUAGACUAGUUGGACCCUGUGUACUUGACUAUAGCCUGCGAGAGCCUGAUUGAGCUCGACAGAGAUACGCUUGCAUACUCGGUUGGGUAGCGCCCAUGAGUGCCACUCCGGAGUCGGGCUUAGUGCUUCUGCGUUGAUGUCGAGGUGUCCUGUUUGGACUUGCUAUCCACUGACUGCUUAGUGUGGAGGUAGCUUUAGCUUCGACAGGAGAGACGGGCGUGUUCACAGUCCCUGGGACGGGUAUGAUUACAGUCCCGAGUGAGAUUGGGUCAGGUAUGACAUCUUCUACAGACUGUUAGUGUUAGAGCAUGAUAGUAUAGUGAUUUUUAGUUGUAGAGUUGUUCCAGCAUUAUUUAGUAUCCCACCUACCUUCUGUAGACUUAGUGGGUGGACCGAUGAUGUUGAGGGUGGCACCCACUAAGGACUACAUGUCUUUACAAUAGUUCUCACGCCCAGUUGCUAUUUGCUUUUGCAGAGCCUUCGGUUCCGGCUGCUGCAUCGUCCGAGAUAGAGCGUGGUAAGGGCGUUGCGAGUUAGAGCCCUACCAAACGAGCCGCCGAGUAGCACCAGCUACAGGUAGUUGUAGUUUUUGACUUCCUAUACAUACUGUUGUUGUAUCUCGCUUGGCGAGCUUUUGUUUACCGGAUGUUGUAUGUAUAGUGAACUUUAUUUUUCUAUCUGGUUAUACUUUGGCUAGCAGCUCUGUAGUGUUCCUGAGCUUUGGAUAGGAUUGGCUUCAAUAUUAGUGACUGGUCGACAUCUCUGGAGAGUGUCGAACUAAGUCGGAGUCAAUUCCGCACGAAUUGGAUGCAGAAUUGGACUCGACGCACUCAAUUAAGCAAAACUGGAGUUUUGCCAGUUUCGGGCGCCCAGAACAUUUUUAGGGUCGCCCAGAAACGAGUGUUGAAUUUAACUGAAACUGGAGGCCAAUUCGGAUCCCAUGUUCCGGGUGCCCAGAUGUGGGUCCGGAAAUUCGACAUCGUGAAUAUCGCUUGCUUCGAUGCGUGGCAGGCGGCAGGUGAGUUCCGCCGGAGCCAUUUACGGGCGCAGCACACCGUGAGCAGAGAGUCCGAGGAGCCCGUUUUGUGCAAGCUGGAUGUUCUGGUCGCCCAAAACAUGGUUCCGGGCGCCCAGAAACGCCCGUUUCUGCAGGGACACUGGAUAGCAGCUUCAGUUCCUGAGGCUUUUUGGAUCAUUCUAACUCACUAUAAAUACUUGGUAAACACCCCUUUGCUGCUCUUUUCCCCCCUUCUUCACAGAGAAGUCUCUUUUAGCAUCUCUACCCUCGGAUUUGCCUCAAAUUGCAUUAAACUUCCAUUGAUCCAGCUUGAUGGAGUGCUGAUUCUGUAGUUCUUCAGCGACGACCUCCAGUGUUUUGGCUCGUGCGCGAUGUAGGAAGGUCGGAUUUCGACGAAACUUGGUUUGCUGGAUUCUAGACUUCCAGAGGAAUCUACGAAGCCCUGAAUGGUAGAUUUUGGUUGAGGUUAGCUUGGUCGAACUGAGGUUUUUCUAGACUACUGUUGGCUUUGAGCUGAAAAUAGAAUUUUUGAGCUUUUCUUGAUGCUAUCUUUGUUGGCAGUGGAAUUUUGGACCUGAGUUUGAUCACCCCUCAGUAUUUGCUGAUUUUGGAACUGUUCUCACCUGAUUUGGAGAUCAUUAGGUGAGUUUUGACAUUGGAAUUGAGAAAUCCUAAGCUUAAGGCUAAAAUUGAUGAAUUUUAUUGGAUUUUGGAUGAAUUGUUAUAUCCAGAUCUUGAUGGGCUUUGUUGCUGGUUUGGAGGAGUUUCCAGCAGUGUUGCUUGUGAUCCGAGACCCUCUUGCUGCCAGGAGUUUCACUAGAGGUGGGUUAUCAUCGGUUUCGCUCCUAAGUGCAUGUUUAGUCGACGUGUAUAGUUCGAUUUUUGUAUAUCAUGCUUUAAUUCAUCGAUUAGCAUCUUGAAUGUAAUAUGAAUGUAGAAGCAUGCUGAAAUGAAUAUUUAUAUUAUACAUGUUGGACUUGAAAUUUGACUUAGGAGAAAACCUGCGUUUUGACCCGUCAUAUGUUUAAACUACCAGAUUUAGCUCUAGGAGCCGAGAUUCGAUUGUAUCGUUGCAGUAUUAGUGCGAUGGAUAUCUGGGGUAGUUUAGAAGGCAUUUACGCUCGUGCUGGGAUGCCGAGCUUAUUUUUCAGCAGAGUUUAGGCUGUUUCGGGUCGUUGGGUGCCGUUCGGGUUAGCGGUGGACCCAGAUUCUUGUUUUGGUCACAGAUUGUGCCGAGGGCACGUGGGUUUGGUUUGUAGGCCUGUUUUUACCCUGUUCACUUGACUUUGGCUAAUUGGAGCCUGUUUGAGCUCGACAUAGAUACGCUGCAUACUCGGUUGGGUAGCGCCCACGAGUGCCACUCCGGAGUUAGGCUUUGUGCUUUCGCGUUGGUGUCGCUCAUGCCGGUUGGACUUACUCUCCACGGACCAGUUAGUGUGGAUAGAGCUGGAUAGUCGCAACUCGGCAGGGACGGGUGUGUUCACAGUCCCAGGGACGGGUAUGUCUACAGUCCCGAUUGGAUUGGGUCAGAUUGGACAUUUCCUACAGUUGGUUAGUGUAGAGCAUGAUAGUGUAGUGUUUGAUAGCGGUAGAUUUUAUUCCUGCAUUUACUACUAUUCUUGCUCCCUUCUAUAGACUUAGUGAGUGGACCGAUGUUGUUUUGGGCGGUACCCACUGAGGACUACUUGUUUUUACAGUAGUUCUCACGCCCUGUUGUUACUUCAUUUUUGCAGAGCCAUCGUCUUCGGCUGCUGCUAUUGCUGAUAAGGAUCGAGGCAAGGGCGUCGCGAGUUAGAGCCCUACCCGACGAGCCGAGCUAGGGGUGCCCUACUACAGGUAGUAGUUUUGUUGGAGUUCAUGUACUUACCUACCUUUAACUCGCCAGUGCGAGUAGUUUUUGUGUAUCUUGGAUUUUGGGGUAUGUAUAUGGAACUCAGUUGGUUUUCUCCGUUUCUCCUAACCAGCUCUAUACUACUGUUUGUAGUAUUGUUUGAUUUACAGAUACAGCUAUCGCUUCGUAUACAGGAAAAAUUCCUUUGUAUACGGCGGAUUUGUCGGCGCGCCCGGGGAACGUGUAAUCCGGGGCGUGACAAGCUCUAUACUACUGGUUGUAGGAUUGUAUAUUUUACAGGUACAACUAUCGCUUUGUAUACAGGAGAAAUUUCUUUGUAUACGGCGGAUUUGUCGGCGUGCCCGGAAAAUGAGUAAUCCGGGGCGUGACAAUAUAUAUAUAUAGUAAAGGUACUAUGCUAUCGGAAGUAUAAAUUAGUUGGUACUUUCGAUUUUUUAGCCCUUGGAUCAAAAAUUAUACGGUUGGGAUGAUAGCAGUCCCCUUAGAGUUGAGUGGUCCCCCUAGGGUUGAGCGGUCCUCAUUGGUCAAUAAUAUUAAUCCAAUGGUUAGAAUAAUCAAUGGAGUUGAUCUAAGGGCUAAAAAAUCAGAAGCACCAACUAGUUUAUAUUUUCGAUAGCUUAGUAGCUCUUCUAUAUAUAAAUAUAUAUAUAUAUAGAGAGAGAGAGAGAGAGAGAGAGAGAGUUGAGCUAGAUCUCUAAAGCACAUGAAGGUAGGUGCUUUUGAAAGAGAUAUUUAGUUCAAUAAUAUAUAUAUUUAUUAUAUACUUAUACUUUAUAUAUAUAUAUAUAUAUAUAUACUAUAGUCGUCUCCGAUACUUUCGAACAAGUACGGGAGGCCCGGUGCUUGUAAGUUGUUUUCGAUGACUAGGACCGUUCCGAUUCGCACGAUCGCUCGUUAGGCUCAUGAUCUUCCUAUUGAGAACUAUCUAGAAUCAAUUUAGAUUUUUUUGACAGUAUUUACUAGCCGAUCAAAGAGUCUAAAAUGAUUUUACGGCGUGUGGAAUUUUUAAUGUGUCAACGGCUUGUUAGAGAGUAUCCAAUAUUACAUGAAUUUAAUAAAAAUUUACUUAAUCAAAGUAGCCGAUAUCAUUUCGAUGUAAAUUUGAAUCUUUUAUCACUUUUUUAUGAGAUUUGUUCAUUUUCUAGCGUUCAUUUUUGGUAACUGUUCCUAGACGCACAAACCGAAAUCAAAAAUAUAUGAAUUUGGUUUUCUAGUAGUUCGCUCCAUGGAUGUAAGUUUUAACAACUGAUCGCUGAAUCGAGAACUGUCCACAUUCAACAAGAUUAACAGAACGGGCCACAGCCCAUCCGCGUUACUUUCGACGCAUAGGAGCCUAGCUCUGUUAUUCUCUAUCUUUCUCUCUCUUAUAUUAUAUAUAUAUAUAUACUAGUUAUAGUCAUGUGCAAUGCCCGUCACAUUUAAUUAAAUUAAAGUUAUAUUUAUAUUUUAAAUUUAAAUAAUUAUUGAUAGUAUUAGUCUAUUUAUCAAUUAAUUUUUUUCUAACUUAAAUUUUUUUAAUUUGUAUCCAAAUUUAAAAAUUUGAAGUAAUUCUAAAUUUUAAAUUAAUGAAUUCAUAUUUAAAUUUAUGAACAAAACUCAAAAUUUGAAGUUAAUUUUGAGUCCAUAUUUGAAUAUAAAUGGUUAUAGAGACAUUGAUUUAUUUAACAUCCCAUCUAUUUUUCAAAUUUGAUAUAUUUUUAAGUUAAUUAAUUAUUUUCAAUUUGAAAUACUAUUUACACACCCAAAUAUUGAAAUUUGAAUUAAUUUCAAAUUUUGAAUAAUUUAAAAUUUAAAGUUGAUUUGAUAAACUUAUUUAAAUCAUUCUAUUUUUCAAACUUAAUUUUCUUUUAGUUAGUUAAUUGAGAGAUAGUGAAUACUAAAUAUUUUCAAUGUGAGUUGCGUAGAAUUUUUUUUUGAUGAGUAUGGAAUAUUUUUUUAUGGGGCACUUGUGAAAAAUAUUCAACAGUAGAUAUUUUUAGAUUGACAUAAAGUUGGAUAAGUAUGAAUUUUUUUUAUAUUCUCGUAAAUGAAAUGCAAUAUUUUUUCCUAUUAAAAAAAGGUCUGUCAACAGCUAUUUUAUUAAUAAUCCCAAAUCAAUAUAAAUUUGUGAAUCACAUUUAUUUACAAAUUUAAAAUUUUAAAUUAUAAAUUCUUAUAUUAUAUUUUAUUAAAAAAUAUCUCAUAUUUUAAAUAUUAGUAGAUAAAAUUUAGAUAAUUUUUAUAUAUUCACCUUUAAAAAAAUAUAAUUAAAUAUUAUAUAUGCGGAAGGUAUUAUGUGAUAGGAUAUUAUGUAGGCCGUAUUACGUGUGAGAAAGAAAAUAUUUAAAAAAUUCUUAAAUUGCAAAUAUUAUUUAUGAUAAAAAAUAGAUAUUACGUGGGCUACGGUUAUUAGAAGAUAAGGUGCGCAUAUAAAAUGUAAAAUUCAAUAUGCACUUUUUGAGGGCAAUUCAGAUAAAAAAAGUGACAGAUACUUAAAUCGUCAACUAUUGGAUUAAAUUCGAAGACUAAGAAUUAAUAUAUUUUAUGAUAAUUUAAAAAUAAAAUAUAAAUUGUACGGUUAUGAUUUAUUCUAUUAAACUUGAAUGAAUGAUAUUGCUAGUAUGCGAUUGGAAUUAUAUUAAUAGGGAGCGAUAUUUUGGGAAAGAAAAAAAUUUUAAAACUUGCUCUUUUAUAAGUAGUAUAUAUAUAUAUAAUAUUUACUAAGGAUCUAGGAUACUUUUACAAGCUAUCCAUCCCCAUCUUAUUGCUAUUCAACUUUUUAGCCAUUGGAGUCUACUUUUGUUUACAAAUAGCCCUUGGAUCAAACACUAUUCCACCUACCACCACCCUACCACCUACCUACCACCCAUCUAUCCAACCUUUCACAUCUUCUCCAUCCAAGGCUAAAAACACACAAGUACCACUGGCUGAUACUUGUAACAAGUAUUCUACCCUACUCAUAACUAUAUAUAUAUAUAUACUGCUCUAUAUAUAAUAUGACUACAUACUACGGUAUACUAUGAUAUAUAUAUAUAUAUCAUAUAUAUAUAUAUAUAUAUUAAUUACUAUAUUAUAGAUCACAGUGGGUUUAACGGAGCCCGAUCCGACGAUUUCGAAGUCGCAAGAUCGAAACGAGCCUGGAGCACGGAAGGCUCCAGUGCUUCCGAUCAUAUAUGGUCUCCGUGCUUCCGAUAAUAAUACUAGAUGUAGGUCUACUAUACCUUAUCGUAAGCACGGAGCCUUUCCGUGCGUUCCAGCUCGUUUCGCAUCUUGCGACUUUCCAAUCCGUCCGAUCGGCCUCCCUUACACACUUUGAUCUAGACGUAUUGAAGUACCCUACGAAAUAAAUUUACUGACUUUCUACGAUAUAUUUGCUUACGUGAACGCAAGGGCGCUCAAAAUCAACGGCUACAAAUAAAAAUCCUUACAUAAAAUGUAAUAUGAUGACACUUAAACAUUUUAACAAAGAGGGUCAUUGAUCUUCGUUCUAUACCUACUGUCAAAAAAUUUUUCUAUCAAAAUUUCACGCCGACUUCUGGAUAUCUUUUAACACCCGUUAAAACUUGCAAACGGCUCACCGCGCCAUGCUACAAUUUGUUGAUUUGAGUCCCAUUCGCAUCACUACGGCAAAUGAUCAAUCCGAAAGAAUAAUAAAUUUAUUUUCUAGUACUCCCAAACUACUCUAAAUCAAGCUUUAACGAGCCGAUCCCGACGAAUUCGAAAGUCGCAAGAUCGACAACCGAGCCGCGAAGCACGUAAGGCUCCGUCGCUUCCGAUUAGCAAUAGUAGCCUCACUCUAUACUAUAUACUAUUAUAUAUAUAUAUAUAUAUAUAGUAUUCUAGCCUAUCAAUCUCAACCCAUACCCGCUAGUGCUCGCGGAUUACACGCAAAUUUGCGGGUAUAGACACCAAUUUUUUCAACCUAAAAAAUUACAGAUAAAAAAUUAUGAAACUAUAUUCGUUUAGUGUCAAAUGAAUCCUCUACCAUUUUAGUAGCAAUAGGAAAUUAAUUUGAAAUACACACAAAUAUCCUCGAAGCCCCUAUGGUGGGCAAAACCCAAGCUUUGCUCGACGCGGUACUCAACCACCACCCACCCUCCUUCCCUCUCCUUUUUCCCCGAGUCCAACAAACGUUUUAAAUGUCCCAAUCAAUUCAUCUCUCUCUCUCUCUCCCUCCAUUACCCCGUCCCACCUCUCAUUUCUCCGCUCCAAAAGUUAAUCAUACUCCACACACCUCCAAAAUAAGAACCAUCCACCUCCUACCCCCUUAAUUCCCCUAUAUUUUUAAAGUUCGUCAAGAACCAUCCACCUCCUACCCCCUUAAUUCCCCUAUAUUUUUAAAGUUCGUCUCUCUCUCUCUCUCUCUCUCUCUCUCUCUCUCUCUCUCACUCUAAUUACUUCUUGCGUUAUAAUACGUUAUGCUUGAGUGAGACUAACUCUUUCUUGGCUCCCAUCUUGCUCUCUCCUUUCUCUUUGUGGACUCUUGUACGUAGUGGUUGUGAGCUCCCCCACCAAACAAGCCAAAUAAUCCCGAUCGAGAAGGCACCCAACUCACUACGUACCUCCUCUUCACUUGGGAAGAAGAAAGAGGGGGAGGGGGAGGGGGAGGGAGAGGAGACGGAUCAAGGUGGAAAUGGGCGGCGAGAGGAAGAAUUCGCUUCUUACUCUCGCCGGGCGGGUGCUGAAUUGUGCGGUGAGCUUUGUCGUGUUCUCCGUACUCGACGUUCUCGAUAUAAUCCUCUGCAUUGUCUACAAGCUCAUCGAUUAUGCCGUUGAGGCCGAGUGGAAGCCGUGCUACUGCUCGGCCUCCAAGGACAUGGUUGCCGGCAGCGGCAGCGGCAGCGGAGGCGGGCCAAAGGUGGUGCGGCUCUGCUCGUCGAAGCUCCAGCUGGAGGACGUCUCCGACACGCUGUACGCGCGUCCUUCAGUCGUCAUGGACGCUGCGAGGAAGGCGGGAACCACCGGCAGCGGCGCAUCAGUUGUCGUGAGCCCGGCACCGGCUGCGCCGACGUUCCGGGUCAGCACUGGUGUUGCGGAGAUGAUCCGAGGGAAGAUCGACCGGCAGCGGCCUACGCGGCCGGUGCCCUGCUGGUCCGACUGCUGCUGUAAGAUCUGCAAUUCGUGGAGCACCGCCGCGACCCCUUCCCAGCUUUACGUUCACGUGGAGGGCCCAAGAGGUAAAUGCUGCAUGCCCGAUCGAGUUAGGAUCCGGCCGGUAAAACGCAAACGGUAGUGUAAAUUUUAAAAACCUUACUUUUACCAACUAUAUAUAUAGUCGAUCGGUUUAGAAAUGAAAAAAAAUGCAUAUUGGUACGUAGUUAAUGAUCAAUGAAUUUGUGAUAUAUAUAUAUAUAUAUAUAUAUAUAUAUAUAUUGAAUCGAGAAAUGUGCACGCACAGUAUUGUCAUGCAUCUUUUUAAGUUUUUAAACACGUACUACUAGUCUGUAUAAUUUAAUAUAUUUAUCAAAAAAGAUUAUUGUUCUCAUUUUUAUCGGGCGAAAUAGCUAGUAGAUAAUAAUUUUUAAAAACAUUUUUAAAAGUGAAAAAUUUUAAUUAUUUUUUAAUUUCAUUUCUUAUUGCGAGAUGUAGUAUUUUGGAUGAAAAAAUCAAGCGUCUUAUCUAAAAGUUUACCAGGAGGUCGAACACGGGCAGCGUGCGUAAUGCAUGUGCUUAAUCCAACUAAACUAAAUGACGUCAAUGUUAUACGUACGUACAUUUUAAUUUGAAGAUUAUGUCGUCAUUAAAAUAUUUAUUUGGUGUUCCGGAGGGAAUAUAUAUAUAUAUAUAUAUAUAUAUAUAUGCUACAGAAAUUUUGCUCAUUAAUUAAUUUGCACAGAUGGUACGCAAUCUCGUAAUAUUAUUAUUUUGCGACUAUUAAUUAAAAUUGCCGAUCGACUGAUGAGUGGGCGUGCAUUAACGAAAUUGAGCAGACGGGGCGGCGGUGCCGGCGACGGAGGACGUGGUGUUCAUCCACGGAUUCAUCUCGUCGUCGACGUUCUGGACGGAGACGGUGUUUCCGGCAUUCAGCGAGCUGACAAAGUCGAGGUACCGCCUCUUCGCGAUCGACCUGCUGGGGUUCGGGCGCAGCCCGAAGCCGACGGACUCGCUGUACACUCUGCGGGAGCACCUGGAGAUGAUCGAGAAGUCGGUGCUGAAGCGGUUCGAGAUCGGGAGAUUCCACCUGGUGGCGCACUCGCUGGGGUCGAUCCUGGCCCUGGCGCUGGCGGUGAAGCACCCGGAGGCGGUGCGGUCGCUGACGCUGGUGGCGCCGCCCUACUUCCCGGUGCCCAAGGGGGAGGAGAGGGCGGCCGGGCAGUAUGUGAUGCGGCAGGUGGCGCCGCGGAGGGUGUGGCCGGCCAUCGCGUUCGGGGCGUCGAUGGCGUGCUGGUACGAGCACGUCAGCAGGACCAUCUGCCUGACCAUCUGCAAGCACCACCGCCUGUGGGAUCUGCUCUUCCGACUGCUCACCCGCAACAGGUAUGUAUGUGUGCUCUCAGCCAAUUACACACACCUAGCUAGCACUUAAUUAGCACUUGCCUUGCCUAAUUCCCUUUCCCUUUCCCUUUCCGUUUCCGUUUCCCUUCCUCUAGCUGUGCGUUGUGUUUGCUCUUUCUUCCGUCUCCAACCGUUUCGGUGGCUCCGCUUUUAUUAUUCUCGCCUCGUAUUUAUUCCUUCCCACGUUAUUGGCUUCUCACCCUCUAUUUUGCGCUCCACGUGCCCGGUCCCACAUAAAUAACAACCUGUUUAAUUCGUCCAACACUAGUGCUGCAGGUACACACAAUAUCGACGGAAGAAAAAUGCUACUAGCUAGCUAGCUAUAUAAGGUUAGAAUCAAAUCAAAUCAAAUCAAAUCAAAUCAAAUCAAAUUCGCAUGGUUGGAUUAAUGUGAUCCCUCUUAUUAAUUAAUAUUUAUUUAUUUUAUUUAUUUAUUUAUCACCUCUUUAAAUAUAAAAAUAUAAUAUAAUUAAAUUCAGCAAUACAACAAUUAACGACGUUUUAAUUAAGAGAGAUAUUGCGGAAAAAUCCAAAGCAUUUUUUCCUUUGUCUCGACGAAUAUUAAUUUAUAUAGAAGAUUCCAAAAUAUUAUUUUUCUAAACUGUUGAUGGGCAAGUUGAGAUGCAUGGUAUAUAAGAUUUUGUUUAAUGUAUACAUGCAAUUUUAAUAUAUAUGCUGUAUAUAUAUAUAUAUAUAUAUAUAUAUAUAUAUAUGAUGUUAGCAGAUAUAUAGCAAUGCGGCAAUAUAUAUAUAUGGUUCCCUUUUCCUGAUUCAAAAGUUAAACGGUGAUAUAUCGAUUGCAUGUCGCUAAUUAAAAACUAGCUAGCUAGCUAGUAUAAUAUAGUUAGUUUAAAUCACCGGCCGAUCGAAUUAGUAAAAUUUUGAAUCAUGUACAUUUUAAGCACCUGUCGACUUUGGCUUUAACAAUCAUCGUAUGAUAUGAUUUUUUGUAGUUAUUGCCAAAUCGAUCAUACUUGUGAGCCGCCCGCUCCGUUUGAAUUAAAUGGUAGACAGCACCAAAUAAUUAAGAAGUUAUUGGAAUUCAUUUGAUAUUUUAUUCUCUCACCCACACAGUAGCAAAUUCGGUUUUCCCCGUGGGGCCACUGAGUAUAUAUAAGGUCUGCUUUAUCUGUUUUGCCUCUGGUUUCAAUGGCAACAAUAAUUACCGUGCUUGAUAAAAAAUAAUUAAAAAUUCUGCUGUAGACAGAAAAUUUUGAGCCUCCAAACAAGAAAUUCCGACUGAUACUUUCGAUUAUAUAUACGCGACACUAACUGAAUGUAAUAGUUAUAUGUAUAUAUUAUUAUAUAUAUAUAUAUAUAUAUAUAUAUAUAUAUAUAUAUAUAUAUAUAUGAAAUAUAAUAGGAAUAAAUCUUUUAAUCAGGUUAUAGCAUUUUAGGUGAUUGUUACGCCCAAAUGGUUAAGAAAAAUUAAACGUGCUAGGGUUAGAAUAAUCAUAGAAUGUGUGACGCCCUAGAAAAUGGGGUAUUACAGUGGGUAUUAGAGCCAAUUACCAGCCGAAAAUAUUAGAUAAAUGUCGGCUGAGCCAAAAUUAUAUAGCGAGCUCAUCGGCAGAUCAUAGUUGUGGGUGGAGCACGACUCCCCACAAGGUCAAACGAGACCCCACAAGGUCAAAUGAGAUGAGUCUCAAAUCGCCUAUUGCUUGUGAAUAUGUUUAAGCCUAUCGAGAACGUCGAUAUAAUAGCACUGAAAUAGUUUUAUAUAUGAGAUAUAAUAAAAUAAGAUCAUUUUACCCGAAUAUAGCAUUUUAGGAGUGGCUAGCUAGGUUAAUUUAAGAGAUUAGGAGAUUUAAGCAUGCUAGGACUAAAUGGGCGACUCAUUGGAAAGUGGGGCAUAAUAGUUGAGGAUUGUGGAUCUAAAGUUUCAAUUUUGUUUGUGUCCAAAAGUUAUAAUUUUUUUCCUUAGAAUUUAUUUUAUUUUAUUUUUUGAGUUUUAAUAUUAAAGAAUAUUUUGGAUGAAGUUAAAAUUAAUAUGUGAUAACAGAUCAAGAACUUUGUAGCAAGAAACAGUUGGAAAGUUCCCUAUUAAAAUUUUAUUAAUUAGUUUUUUAGUUUCCCCCGCCCUUAUUUUGAACGGCAGCUUACGAGCUGUCAGAGCCGCGAAGAAAUCGAUGGCCUGACAUAUAUGGUAGGAGUACGUUACGUUUACUUUGCGUAACGACCUCUGAGGUCCUGCCGUGGGAGUGCGGGACGUCGGGUACGAAAUGCGGGAAACAGCUUCGGGUUUCGUACCACCGCGAUCGAGUAGGAAAACCAAGUCAAAUUUUCCACAUAUAUAUCAGGUAGGUUAAUUUCUAAUUGGGAGACGUUAGAUCGAGGAAAAAUUCUAGAAUGCAACGGGUAUAUUAGUGACGUGGCGUAACAAACCAAUCAAAUUAAUUCUUUUAAAAAUAUAUGUCCCAUCAUGAUUGUAAAAAAGUAUUUUUAUUGUAUUUUUGUUUGAAAAGAAGGAAUGUGAUUGGCUUGUUAUUGAUGACGUGGUGCAAGUGUGACAGUGUAGAAUUCCUCUAGAUCGAGACACGUAAAAAUAAGUAAUAACCGAAAGUAAUGUCAGUGGAAACAUAUAUAUAUAUAUAUAUAUGUAUAUAUAUAUAUAUACACAUAUAUAUAUAUAUACAUAUAUAUAUAUAUAUAUAUAUAUAUAUGAUAUAUAUAUAUAAUAUAGAGUGGGCAUAUAUAUUAUAUAUAGAGUGAAGUGAGGCUACUAUGCUAUCAGAAGUCGGAGCCUUCCGUGCUUCCAGCUAGUUUUUGAUCGUUGCACUUCGAAUUGUCGAUCGGUCUCCGUUAAACUUGAAUUCUAUGAGUAUUUGGGAGUACCUACAAUAAUGCGAUAUGGUGCGUUUGCUUCGUUUAACGGAUAGAAGAGCUUCAAAUCAACUAAAAUUUUUUGUUUAAAAAAUCUUUUUAAACUUUUAAAAUAAAAACGAUCUAGACUCUAGAUCCAAAUAUAAAAAAUUGUAUUAUCACUUUUUUCAAGGAUAGUUAUUUCCAGCCAUUUAUUUUUCUGUUUCACUUGAUGGACAGAGAACAAUAUCUGAAAAUGUGUGUUGAAAUUUGGAUUUCCAGGAUAGUUUAAGUAGUUUUAUGAUCUGUGUUGUAACAGUGCCGAUCAUCAAUUUGGAAGCCCUAUAUCAAAACAAAUCGGUAGCUAACGGCUCGUUUUACUACGAUAGUUAUUCUAGCAAAACCCUAUAUUAUAUAGUAUAUAUAUAUAUAUAGAUGAGAGGAGAGAGAGAGAGAGAUGAGGAGAGGAGACGAUGAGAGAGAGAGAGAGAGAACGAGAGAGAGAGAGAGAGGGAUGGAGGAGGGGAGGGGAAGUUGAGCUGGGAAUACUAUCGGUAGCAAACGCGGCUCCGUGCACCAUUUGUUUUCGAUGAUGGGAGCCUCCAAAUCGACGAUUAGUGCCGUUAAAAAUGCAUCAGUAUUACACUUGAUAUGGUAUUCUGAGAAUCAAAUUUCAUGCUUUUCCGAAUAUUUUCUCUUGUUCACUCAAGUGGGCGGUAUAAUGAGAUGGCUAAAAAUGAAUAUCAUCUACAAAAGUGAUGAUAGGAAUUGUUCUAAUCAAGGAUCGAGGUAGUGAGAUCUUGUUCUAAAUAGUUUAAAGAAUUUUAAAAUAACGAAAAUAUUCAAUUGAUUGGAUAGGUUACACGUAAACGAGAAAACCCUAUAUUUGACCAUUAAAAUUUACAAAUUUUUGAAACCCUUUGAAUCUAUUAGGUCAGAUGGAUGCGUCGGAGAAAGAUUUUGAAAUUAAUUUCGAGAUACUUCAAAGUGGUAUAGAUCAUGAUUCAACCGCCAGGGCUUACCGAUUAUCGAUUUGGAGGAUCUAAUCAGCUGAAAUUUAAAUGGAUGGCACAGGGGAGCCGUUGCUAUCGAUAGAUUCUACCUCAAACUUCUAUAUAUAUAUAUAAAUAUUAUAUAUUAGUCCGGCUAGGGGGGAUACUAUCGGGGAUAGCGCACAAGGAUUUGGUCAUCAAGUUGUUCUGCCGUUUCUUACAUUUACCUUUUUAUCAUUUUAUCCAUUGAUUAUACUAUUCAACGCAACACCCAUCAACAUAGAAGGACCCCAUCCAUCCUAACUAUACAUUUUUUAAUCCAAAAGGACAGCCAAAACUUAAUGUACCAGAUAUGGUACUAUUAAUAGUAUUCCAGCUAGUUAUUAUAUAUAUAUAUAUAUAUAUAUAUAUAUAUAUUAAUAUUAUAUAUAUAUAUAUAUAUAUAUAUAUAUAUAUAUAUAGGCUUGACGCUAGGAAUACUCUCAGAUAGUAAAAUGAUUGCAUAUUUACUAUCGAGUUGUUUUCGAUCAUAGAGCUUCCAAAUUGACGAUCGGCUCCGUUGAACAUGAUCUAUACCACUUGAAGUGUUUAGAAAUCAAAUUUCAAAUCUUUUCGACAUCAUUUGCCUAAUGAUCAAAGCGUUUCAAAAUUUGUAAUUUUAAUGGUGGAUAAGAAACGUUUUCUCGUUUAAUGGUGUAAAGAUAUCCAAAUCAAUUGAAUUUUUGUUAGAAAAUUCUUUAAACUAUUUAAAACAAGAUCUAUACUCUUGAUCUUGAUUACAAGACUCCUAUCAUCAUUUUUUAAAGAAUAUUCAUUUUCAACCAUUCAUUUUCUGUUCACUAGAUGGAUAAAAGAACAAUGUCGAAAGUGCGUGAAAUUUAAUUUCUCGAUAGUUUAAAUGGUUUAGAUCAUAUUUAACGGAGCCGAUCGUCAAUUUGGAAGCUCUAUCAUCGAAAACAACUCGAUAGUAAAACGCUCCGUUUACUAUCGAGAGUAUUCUAGCUCAACUCUAUAUAUAUAUAUAUAUAUAUAUAUAUAUAUAGAUAUAUAUAUAUGCUCACUCAUGAUUAAAUAUUAAAAUAAUCUUUUGAAUAUUUAGACAGUACUGGUUUAUGCCGCUUCGUUAAUUAGGUGCUAGGUGAUCUUUUCUUUUCUUUUCUUAUCUUUUUUUUGAGAAAAAUCUCUUUAUGAAUUACCAAGAUAUAUAAUUGUGCCAAAAUAUUAGUCGAUUUUGUAUUGCACUAAAGUGACGUACAAGGGUUCAAUUACACCAAUCUCCUAAGGCUCUAUUCGAAAGUGGGUUAUUCGGUAUAAAUAUUUUCUUAUGUGAUUGUAAGAAAGAAAUUUAAUUUCUGCUCCUUGAAAGAUUUUAAUAUCUAUGAUUUGGUAGGAUAACGUAUUUCACUUAUGAGAUAUUUAUCUUAUCCGAAAAAAUAAUUUAAAGGCUGAAUAUAAUAUUUAAUUUUAGACAUUUGAUCAUGCUCCUUAUCUACCAAACAUACAAACUUUUUAAAUAAAUUAUGAAGAUAUACUAAAUAAGAUAUUCGUACAUCCAAAUAAUGCCUAACUGUAUGAAUCUCGCCAAUAGUCCUAUUUACUUCUAAGUAAUAUUAGUAGGCAUAGUAGUACUAUGGGCAUGUUUUAUUUCGGGAUAAAGAGCGAGCAAUUAACUAAAGUUAUCCCCUACUAUUCCAUCACACCUUUUAAAGGAAAAAGAAAAAAAACUGAAUAGUUAUUCUGAUUAAACCAUGGUAUUCUAAAUAAUCCAAAAAUAAUCUCAAAAUAAAUUCUCCACAUUUCCAAUGGUAUAGGGCUAUUCUUAAUUAUGAUCGUCUUAGAUUAUUUCGGACAAUUCAAGUAAGAAAAAUGUAUGCCUAUAUCGUAUAUUACAUAUAUAUUUAAGUAUAUUAAUUAUAGAGAUAAUUUAAUGAAUGUUCCGUUACUAUAAUAUCGUUAUACUCUCCUAAAUUUAAUAUUAUUAUAGUGUCCGGCUACUAUGCUAUCGGUAGCACGGAGCGCUUCGUACUAUCAAGUUGUUUUUGAUGAUACGGCUUCCAAAUCGACGGUCGGCUCCGUUAGACUGAUCUACACUAUUGAAAGUAUUUGAAAACUAAAUUUUCGAUUUUUUCGACAUUAUUUGACUAGUGAUCAAAAGAUCUCAAAAUUGACAAUUUUAAUGGUCGAUGUGGUAUGUUUGUGAGUUUAACGGUGUAAAACAAUCCAAAUGCUAUGAAAAUUUUAUAGAAAAUUCUUUCCACUAUUUAGAGUAAGAUCAGUAUAUCUGAUCUUGAAUUUAAAUCUUUUAUCAUCGUUUUUCAUGAGAUUUUUAUUUUUAGCCGUUCAAUUGUAGACUACUUGAUUGAUAGGUAAAUGAUAUCGAAAAAUUAUGAAAUUUAGUUUCUAAAUACUUUCAAUAGUGUAGAUCAAGUCUAACUGAGCCGAUUGUCGAUUUGGAAGCCGCAUCAUCGAAAACAACUUGGUAGCACGGAGCGCCGUGCUACCGAUAGUAUAGCAGCCUAGUUCUAUUAUUAUAUAUUCCUAUUAAAUGGUCAUGAAUAUCAUGAAUAUUUUCCUAAUAGUUAGUCUCUAUCCAAAAAUACCCUUCAUAAUUUUAAAAUGCCAAGUUUACUCUUUAUCCAUUAUUUAUUUAUGCUCCUUAAAUUUUCUAUCUGUUGAUAUUCAAAACGUUUCAAAAUUACUCUCAAAAUUUUUUGCCGAUAAUUUUCACCAUCAUGUAUAAAUCACACCGAUAAUUUAAAUUUGAAUAUAAAAUUUAAAUUUAAAAUUCAAGAUCUAAGUUUAAAUUUUGAAUUUGAAUUUAAAAUUUCAAGUCUAUUGUGAAUAUAAAUUCUAAUUUGAAAUUCAAAUUCAAAAUAUGUUCAUAUUUUGAAUCUGAAUUUCAAACGGAAAGUUUGAAAUUAAAUCUAAAACUAAUUCAAAAUCUAGAUUUGGAAGUAAAAUUAAGGACACAAUCUCUAUUUGAAUUCAAAAUUGAAAUUGAAUUUAAAUUCAAAUCUAGAAUUAUAAUUUAAAUUUAAAAUUUGAAAAAAUUAGGUUUAAAAUUGAAAUUCAAUUCAAAUCUAGAUUUUCACUUUAGAGAAUCUAAGAUUAAAAUUUAAACUAAAGUUUGAAUUAAAAAACUAACUAUAACUUUUGAGACUAUUUAAGGAUAAAAUUUAUAUUUUAAAACUUAAUUAGCAUUAAUUAAAUUAGUCUCAAACUAAGGUUAGGGUAACACUCCAUAGUGUGAGAUAAUGAGGGACGAUUAUAUUGGAAGGUUAUAUGUGAUAUUGUAACACCGUGUGAUGUAAUGUAUACUAUAACAAAUUGUAUUAUAAUAAAAAGAACAAUAAUCUAAUUAUCAUUAUCAUUACUACUGCUACCACACACCACCACCAUUGUAUUAUUAUUACAUGAUUCUACAAAAAAAAAAUAGCAUUUAUGUUGUAAGAUAUAAUGAUAUGUUACAAUUUAUCUUCAACUGUUUACUAACUACAUAUAUAUUUUUCUAUUAGCCCCCACUAUCCUGGAGGUAAAUACUAAAUACAAUUUAAUUAUACGUAGGAAUAAAUAAAAUUGAAAUACACAUAAUUUUACACGUAUUUCUAUCUAUUAUCGUAGAAUAAUUAAGUUUCUCAAAUAACAAUAUUUCUUAGGAAAUUGUCUUAAAACCAAACAUAGUCUAUAGGAAUAAUGUGAACUGUGAAUAAGAAUCUUAAGGAUCUAUAUAUGGAACCAUUCUUACACAUAUAUUCCUCAAAAUUUAAUAUUAAUUUUAUUGCUAAACUGCUAUUUUUGUAAGUUAAUUACUACUAGAUCUACAAUCCAAACUGGAUUGCAAUAGUACAGUACCCUUAUUUAAAGAUCAAAUUAAUUUUCUCUACUAACCCUAGCCCCUGUGUGGAUCAUUGUUCUCUUCAUUGGGAUUUUAGACAGUGAAAAUGAAUUUCCUUUCUUUCGCAAUUCGCAUCGCAUAGAAAUUAAGCAGUAGGAAACUCAUUUUACACUGAUUAAUUAGCCUCGCGGCCCGUGAAAUUUCUCUAUAUAUGGGUUUACGUAGUGGAGUUUUUUUUUUUUUUUUUUUUUUUUUUUGAGAGAUAGGUACGUAGCACGCUACCCGCUUCGUUUAUUUCAUUUAGAAAUAAACUUAGCUAGAAAUGUGAAUCAACUAGAAUUCGAAGUUGGGUCUCGGAUACCAACCACUAAACUCUUUGCCACUUGCUCUAUAUAUGGGUUUACGUAGUGGAGUUAAUUUGAUGAACUAUUUAUUAAUGUGCUGUACAUGGUACAAAAUUAGUUGCAAUCAAUUCUGGUACCAUAUACAACAAAUUAAAAGUUACCUACCUCUUUUAACGAUUGUUGACAAGUUACUUAAUUAGCGUCUUCGAGUCCAGUGAGGAACUUAAAACUAAUUAUAAGAAUGAGUAAACUUUAAGGAAACUAAUUUUUCAUCGUUUACUUGUUUGUAUAACCUAUAUAUAUACAUAGAAUUGCCCAAACUAUAGAAUAACUAAUUAAUUGCUUAGAAGCUAGCUAGCUAUAUGUUGACGAUCUCUUCACCUAACCGAAUAGUAGUGUAGACCCAAAAUAUGUGAUUAAUUUUACGUACAUAAGCAAACUGAAGAGUGUGGGCAUGAAAGAAGACCGGAAGAAACUAAAUAUUACUACGCAAGGUGAUCGAUCGGGGAGAGCUAUAGCUAGCUAGGUGUGAAACUGCAGGGUGGGUUUAUCAUGAAUUUGCAAUUAAUUAAAUCUUGAGCAAUGCUCAUAUAUAUUCUAAGCACACGUACAAGAAAAAAAAAAAGAAAAGGAGAAGAAAUAAAAAAAAAAAAGAGCAAACGUACGGUAGGAGUAAAAUCUUAAAUCUUACUUAUUUAAGGGCCGGGUCAAUAUUUUUUCACUAGUUUUAUUAUCAUUUUUUAAAUAUUAUAAAUUUAAAAUGCGUGUCCUAGUUAAUUUUUAUGUGGACGAGCGCAUAAACUUAAUGGUGCUCUCCUUCCUUUGGGAUGUACGUAUAAUAUUUCUCUUAAAUUUUAGACCUCUAGCUUUGUAGCUAGCAGGCUGUUGAAAAAAAAAAAAAGAAAAAAAAAAAGAGGUUAGAGAAAAACCCCACCCACAGCUAGCCCACAUAGGUAGAUAAAUUAAAACAGAAACAAUGGUAAUUAAUGAGGGAGGUGAAAAGCAAGGGACUUGCUAAAAAAUUGGCCCAACAUAUGGUAAUGAGUAGUAUUAUUAAUUAGUACAUCCACUUCUACGGAGCCCGUUAAAUUGAGCAAGUACGGCUGAAUUCUGACGCUCAAGGUGAAAAUGGUUGUACAUUUAUCUAUUAAUAUUAACGCAUCUCUCACCGUCAAAACCUUUUCUGUCAAUAAUACAAUAGAUAUAGUUAGUUCCUGUUUUAUACAUAUAUAUAUAUAUAUGGAUCAGUACCUAAUCUAUAGGCUUAUACUAAUUUUAGGGUAUGUUCCGUUCGCCCUUCUUUCAUUCUGGAAUCGGAACGAACAAAUUCGUUUGUCCGUGUUUAGUAUGCGAAAUUUUCAUUCCGAUUUUGAUUUUCGGAUGAAUGAAAAUCUCCCAAAUUACCCUUUUUUUAAUCCGGUCUAGAAGGCCGGAUUGAAAAUUGAAUCGUGGCGGAAUGAAUUUGUUAGGAUUAAAUUUACCCUUUUUAAACUUAUUUUUUUAAUUAAAACAUACAUAAUUUUAAGUUUAAAAUUUAUAUUUACAAAUUUUAAUUUUAACUUAAAUUAAAAAUUAAAAUUCAAUCAACCAUUUCGAAUUUAAUUUAUAAAAUUUAAUUUGAAUCCUAAAGUUUUAUUCAAUUUUUAUUCAAAAUUUAAAUUAAAUUCAUGGAUUCAAAUUGAAAUUUAAAUUAUAAUGUUAAGUUUGAAUUUGAAUAUUUCAAAAUUUAGUUUUAUAUUUUGAAUUCUCCGUUCAGUUUUCAAUUUUAAUUUUUUAAAAAAAAUAUAUUUAAAAUUUUGACAUCAUUUUAAAAUUUUUACAUAAAAUUUUAAUACUUAAUUUUCAGUUUGAAUUUACACUGAUAUAUUAUAAAAAUAAAAUUGAUAUAUUAAUUUAAUUAUGUUUCUGAUAUCUAUCCGAAUCAAGCACCAGCAAUGAUUUAUUCCGAUUCCGAUUCAGACGGCGAUCCAAACAGAAUGAGAUAGUGACUCAUUCCGAUUCCGUCUCCAGCUUAUUUUCCCUCCGACUUCGAUACCGAUUCCGACUUCGAACCAAAUACACCCUUAGAGAAAGAAGUCUAUGUACCGGAGUCAAAUUCACAACUACUGCAGUGGAAAGAUUAGAUUGCCGGCACUAUAGUAAUAUUAAAUAAAAAUAGUAGAUUAAUGGUAUUUUUGUAAUAGUAAAUAAAAAUAGCAGAUAAUAGCUAGGAGUAAACAAAAAAUAUUGUUGUUGUUAAUAAGGGAGGCAAAAGACAACCCAAGUUAAUUAGUUGGCCCAUGCACCAAUCCGAAAGAUAAUCAGAUCUAGACAAACAUGCAUUUUGUCUGAAAAAUUGGGUUCUCAUAAUUCACUUUGUACUGAUUAAAAUUCUCUGUUUGGAUUCGGAUAUAAAAAUUCAGACAAACUGGGCCAAUGGUCCGAGUUUGGACUAACAGCUUAAAUAAUAAACUACCUUGAAUUAUAUUAAACUACUGCUUAGUUAUUUCAAGAGAUAUAUGAAUUAAGUAUCUCUAAGAUUAUAAUAUUAAUUAAAUCUAGCUACUACAAUCCUUAAUUUGUAUUUUUUUUUUCUUUUGCAUGUGAAAUGAUUUUAAUCAAAUAAAAAUCGUUAAAAAAAUUAAAUUAAAUUUUUUCCUAAUUCAAUUUGAGAAUUAUCUAAUAAAAGAUAUAAAUAUCGAUCGAGUUGCUGAUCUUUAUGGCGUUGUUUGACUUUAUUUAGAUUUGAAACUAUUUGACUUCAUUGUGGUAUAAGUAAAUAUGAGAAUUUGUGGUUUAUUAAUUUCUAAUUUUAAAAAAAAAAUUGUCAAAAUGGGCGCAAAAUUAGAAAAAAAAAAAUUACAAUAUAAUUUUAUUUGAUUUUUUUUUCAAAAAAUCAAUUUAUAAUAAUUUCAAUUCUAAUGAAAUAAAAUAAAUAUAUAAACUUUAAAUCAAAAUUAUAAAAGCAUUUAAAGUACGUACAAAAGUAUUUUUAAAAUGCAAAAUAUCGGGUUAUUAUUGAAAAAAAAAAAGAAGUGACAGAACUAUAAAAUAAUUCACUCUUCUAUAUACAGUAUAGAUAUUAUUAUUAUUAUUAUUAUUAUUAUAGAUACUAAUAAUAAUAGGUAUCGAUGGAUGGAUGGAUGGAUAGAUGGAUGGAUAUACGUACGUGGCAUGCAUAUAUACAAGUGGGUCCAGAUCCGGUUUUAAACUGGGUCUGAUCAUUAAUUUGAAUAUAUAUAUAUAUAUAUAUAUAGUGUAUAUAGUGUAUGCGCUAGCUAGCUGUGUGAAAAUUUUUUAUUAUCCCUAGCUAGCUAGUAAUUAUCGGACCCCGGCCGGCUUGAUGGGUACGUGGGUCGGUAGGUGAAUUUUUAUUCUUGCACACAAAUUAAUUUUAAGUGUUGAGGUGCCGCGCGGCCAUUAAUUAGCGACGAAUCAUUAAUCCACGAGUGUCGUAAUCAAUGAACAGCAUGCAUGUAGCUAGCUAGGCACGAGCAUAAUUAAUUUGGAGGGUGGAGAUAGUUAUGUAUGCUGCCUACCUGGAUGUGAUGAAUUUGAUUUAUGACAGCUAAGUUCGUUAGGACGGUGGUGGAUCCGCUCGCGAGUAAUUGCACGCGAAUUAACACCUCCCACGACCCAUUUUUUCACCGAAUCGGCCGUUUCGAUCGCGUGCGUCCAUCGAAAACCUAAUUUCUUUCUGAUUCUAUUAAUUGUUCAUAUAUAAGAGACAUCUAUCUUUAUACAAGGGAGAGAUCGGAUAAUUAAUUCGGUACAUGGUAUAUAUAUACAUGGAGACAUCUCUAUAUAGUAUACAAUUAUUAUACGACGAAAUUUCUUUUCUCCGAUCGAUAAUAGUGAAGAUGUAAAUGAAAAUAUUUAUUUAUAUAUGUUGACGCUCCCGCAAACUCAAGACGGGUCAAGCACCACAAGAGUUUGGGCAAAAAGUACUAAUUUCUUUGAAUAGUGUAAGAUUUGGACAAAUGUACUGAGAUUUGGUGAAAAAAUCGGUAAGCUGUUGAACGGACGAAGCAAAUGGUAAUGCUAUCGUGCCAUUAGUAUAAUAACGGCGAAUGAAAUUGCGACUCAUUUUGAUAUGGUUGGUGGGUUCGUGAAAGACAUGUUAUCCGCAAUUUUAAUCGCACUUUGAUUAUCACAAUAUGGUUGUGUUGGAGCAGAGUAGAGGGCACCGAGGUCAUCAAAGAACUAUCCAAGCCAUAUAAUUUCAGAGGUUGCAGAGGGUGCCAGGUGCAAGGAGAACUAAUGACCAGAUACUAGCACGAUGAAGGGCAACAAGUUCCGUAGUCAUCGCAUCCCGCCAUUCAAUAAUGGAAGCGGUAUACGAUACAUUUGUGGUUCCCAGAUAUCAGAAAUAGCUGCAAGAAAUUAAUGUAUGAUAAUACAAAAAAAUGCAGGUAGAGUCAAUAGAACCGACAAAUUAUUUUGGACGACGAGUUCUCGAUACACAAUGGUGGUCGGAUCAUCCGAUGAGGCGAUACUUGUUGGGUCCUCAUGUGGUCCUCAUGUGGUGGUGCUUGUACAACAAGAAAAUCUAUAGAGAAUAGAGCCGGUAAAGGUGAGAAGAAGUAGCAGUUGAGGAAUCAGUUGGUUAGGAUUCUUCGGGAGAAGAAAUAGUGGCUGAUGAAAUGUUGAAGCGAAAAAAGAUCAACUAUAAGCAUUGAAAUGGAAAUGACGUCAGCACUCAAACUAGAUUGAACAUAAUUGGGUAAAUGUUCGAGAAAAGAAUGAUAUCUUGAGAAAUAUGCAUGUGACGAGCAAUAGGAUCAUAACAUCGUUGUGUUCAAGAUAUAGCCUAAGAAAACACGAAUAUAUAAUUUCAGGGAGAGUUUGGUCAUUCAUGUCAGGGUGGGAGAACAAAACAAGUGUACACACACACACGCGUGCGCACACACACACACACCCCGGGGGAUAUGGCAGAUAAGAGACUACAAGGCAUGAUAUAAACUAGACACAUAUGUAGAGAAAGCAUCAACCCAAAAAUGUUAAGGCGUAGACCCAUCUAUAAGAUGAGAGUAAGCAGUUUUAAAGAUGUCUCAUAUCAGUGCUUACGCUCAGCAAUGUCAUUUUGUUGAUGCACAUACAUGAAAGUUGUGGCAAAGUAUCAUGUUUAGCAAGGAGUAGAGGAAACUCAUUCGAAAAUACUCAUGCAUGCUGAUCUCUCCAUUUUUUUUUUGGUUAACGUCGAACCAAGUGGGCCCAAAGAUAACAAUAACAACAUCGAAUGCUCCACUUGUCUUGUCUAGCACUAUAACUUCUAAAAGAAUUGGAAGGUAUAGAUGAGAAGAAGUAGACACUAAUGCAGGUAGAGAAGUUGUAGGAUCACGAGCAGCGAGGACAAUAAGCAUCGCAGAAAUAGAGGAACUUAGAACUUGAAGGCAUGUCUCUGCAGCAAUUAGUUUCGCCAGAGCUGCAUCAAUGGUGAGGAAUGGAGUUCGAUGGAGAAGUUGACCACGCAAGGCUUCAAACUUAGGUAGCAAGUGCAUAAGGAACUAGAAUAAACAUUGUUGAUUGUGCACUUGCUUUUGCUUGAAAGCACACUGACAAGCUGAGCAAGUGCGGCAUAAGGGUAUCCAUAGUUGCUAUUUGAUGCCAAAGUGCCUGCAUAAAGUCAUAGAAAAUCGAAAUUAUGCGCUCCUCUUGAUGAGCUGUGGAGAUUGUGUCAUGCCUUGAGUCCGACCAAUUGGACCCGCUUGGACAUGUACAAUAGAUCCACUGGACAAGACAAGUUUUCCCCUACCCAUACGAAGCAGAAACAUACAGCAACCUGUACAAUGCCAUAUAUGAAAUAGUUAUAAUAGAGCAUUAGCGUAAUAUUUCUAAAUUAAAACCACUGCAAACGUACUCAUUUAAAGUUUACCAAACUUAAUACAUUCCAAAAUAUUACAAUUUUAUUGUUCAUAUAAAAAGGUACAAUCUAAACCACGUACUCACAUGGUCUAACUACUCCACAACGCCCUUACUAUGGUCCCGCACCUCAAAGAUAAUAAUAGGAUCUGAAAAUAGGUAAACAACAAUGGAAUAAGAACUUGGAAUGAGUUCUGAAUAGGUGCAACCACUGAAAGUGGUAUUCUAUACUCACCAAGUUCCAAACGGGCGUUAGUAAUAAGUAAUAAUAAACAACAUCUAUUACCACAAUAGAAAAGUAAAUAAGUAAGAUAUAUCUAUAAUGCCUCUCUAUAUAUAUAAUAUGCAAAAAUGGUUUGCUAUGUUAUUUACUACACAUUCACCUCAUUUUAUUUUCUUAAUUUUAACAAACUUGUUCAUUUGGUUUACUUUUCAAUCUCAGUACACACCUUAUGGAGAGUCAAGGAUGAUCGAACUUCUCUCCAAUCGGUAGGCACUUGGGAUUGAAGGAGAUCAGAUUUUCUCUAGUAUGGCAUCGGGAGUUGAGAGGAUUAGACUUCUCCCUUUAUGACACUUCCGAAAAUCGCAACAUGUUUCAUUGUUACACCUUAAGUUCGUGACUUCUAGGGUUGUCAUAAGGUUUAUUUCCAUAUUGUUUUAUUUUCUAGUUCUAGUUUUGCCUAGAGAUACCACUAUAUUCACAUCUUAGGUUUCAAAAUAGGUUAAACGCCACACUUGUUUUCAACAUUUUAUGGUUCACAUAAUACUCACAUGUACAUCUCAAGUAUUUUCUUGUAGUAUAAUAAAGGGAUAAAAUCCUAUUUUCCUAGGCCAAAUGGCAAUAUACAAUUUUGACUCUCUAGAUCCCCUAGCAUGCAACUAAAAUAUAUUUCAGCUUAUAUAAAACUCAUAAAAUAUGCAUGCAACAAAAAAAUAAUUUAGACAAAGAGGAAACUAAAUCUAUUUUGAUUAUAUUCUUUACCUUUUCUUAGAUCUUCUCUAAGAGAUGCUCUUGAUCUUUUUAGAAUACCAAGAAAAUCUUAAAAAUUAAUUCUAACCAAGUUAGAAUCUAAAAAUUCUAUGUUUAGGAAAAUUCCCAAAAUAAACCAGAAGAUUCCAACUUACCUCUUCUCUUCCUGGUAUAAGAAAUGCGGGUGAAAUGGACUUCUUCUCCCUCCAAGAGCGUUCUCUUGAUGAAUUUGACCUUCUCCAAGCUUUCAAGGAAAUAGAUCUUUAAGUUUCAACAAUAGAGAUUUUAGGGCUCUUUUACUGUAAAGAAAGAGAGAAGAGGAUAGUGAGAGAGGAAGAAAUAUAAGAGAAAUUAGGGCUAACUAAUUAAAAGGAUACUCAUAGACGUGCUAUAAUAGCACAUAAACCCGCCGACAAUCCAAAUUUAUAAAGCCAUAAACCUCGACCUUUUAACUAGGAUUCGGGCACCCACUUGUCCGGACUUUCAGGUGCCGGUCCAAACUUUUAGGAGCCCAAAAGCCUCGUAGCUCCCUUUGGUCAAUUGUCUAGAUGCCCGGCCAAUCCGCCCUAUCCAUAAUACGGGUGCCCAAAAUGGACAUCAGGUGUCCAAUUAUUUAAUCCAUCACACAUGCGCUCUCAGGUUGAACAUCCAAAAGACAUUCGGAUGCCCGCGAGGGACUGCUUGAAAGAUUUUUCGAGCGCCAGAUUUUGGUCAACCGAAUAUUCAAUCCUUCACCUCCCAAGUUCUCGGGUUGGGAGUCCGAAAGAGGGUCUGGAUCCUCUUAAGUAGGAUUUGAAAGGUUAAUUUGCAGGCACCUAUGGGGCCAUUCGGGCACUCUAAAGUCAUCCUUCAAGUGAGUCCCACUGUCCGAAAUGGUUUCGGGUGCUUGGGAUCCUGUUUCGAGCGCUUGGGAUCCUAUUUCGGGCAUCCGAGAAGUUUGAUACUUCAGUUUUCACUUCUUUGAAAAUCAAUUUCAAUAUAAAUUAGUUUAUAUUCGGUCCAAAUUCAAACUACACUCCUUCAAACCCAUUUUAAUUGUGUCUAGCAUGACUUAAUCCGUACUUUGUUAAUUUAGCCAAAAUUCAGUAUGUUACAGAUUUUCUAUACUUAGAAAAUAACCAUAACUAUACUAUCUAUAUAUUUGUCUCUAUAUAUCGAUCAAAGAUAGACCACAUCUGGUAAAUGGUGGAUAGGCUGAUUAAUUGCAUACAAAUGUCGAUAUCCACUUGUAUAAAUAAGCCCAUGUGCCCGUCAAUCAGCAGCAAAUCAGGCUUUAGUUUUGUUUCAUCAACUGUUAGAUUGGUACCAUCAAUAUGACUGGUAAGAUCAAGAGUAUUCAAAUAAUAAUUGAAUACACAUCGACCAUUCAUAAUAGUUGGGCACGAUGAGCUUAAUAUCAAUUUGCACAAUAGUAGGUUAGAGGUGAGAGAACUAUUUUUCUUUACAGGUCUAAGCUAUUAGAGAAUGAUCCUUUAACUAUUAUGUGCUCAAAACAUUUUGGCAUCUAAUGGCAGAUUUUGGCUAAAAGCCAAAUAUGCAAAUUGCUAAAACUAAAUUAAAGAUUAGUAUCAAAAGAUUUUGGCAGAAAAUUAGUCUCAAAAGAUUCGGAGUCAAGACCUUAUGCUUUGAUAUCAUUUAGGACAUUGUUUUCACUUCCAUAUAUACUCAAUAGGGAUUAUCUUAAAUUCUGUUGAAUUCGCAGGUCCAUUCCAAUUUAUGAUGUGAUCCAAAAUUUUAGCAGUAAAAUUAAAAAUUUCACUACUAGAAAAUUAGUCAUUAGUGACAUUUAUUUACGCUGCUAAAAGAUCAACGAAUGCCACUAAAAAUUUUAGCAGCAUAUGACACUAACUGUUGCAUAUGCCAAUGUUGCUAAAAGUAUUAGCAGUAUUUAUAAUGAAUGCUGCCAAUGUAAAUCAAUUAGUGUUAUUAGGAACAUGCCUCUAAUAUAAAUCAAUUAGUGUCAUUCGGAACAUGCCGCUAAAAGGGAUUAAAUGCUAAUUUUAACUUAUUUAUUAGUGGGACAUAAAUUAAUAUAACGCCACAAAUACAAAUAUCUGAUUUUAGGGACUCAAGUUUUAAAAUUUUAAUUUUACCCGCUUCAGCUGGAAAUGUGAAUCAACUAGGAUUCAAACUUGAGACCUCAGUUACCAACCAUCAAGCACUUUGUCACUUACGCUAGGAACUCUCAGUUAUAUAUAUUUAAUUUUUUUUAAAUUUUAAGCCUUCAAUUUUAAAAUUUUAAAAUUUUAAAUUCUAAAUUCUAAAUUUAGAUACUAAAUUUAAAUUUUUAAUUUUCAAAUAUUAAAUUUUAAGUUUCAAAAUUUACAAUUUUAAAUGUGAAAUUUUAAAUUUAAAAAAAAUGUAUAAAUUUAAAAAUUAAAAAUUAAAAAUUUAAAUUUUAGAAUUUAAAAUAGAAAAUAUAAAAUCUUAAAAUUCAAAUGUUAAAUUAUAAGUUUAAUUUUAAAAAUUAUAAGUUUCAAAUAUUUAAACUUUAAUUUCAAAACUUUUAAUUCUAAGUAAAAAUAGGAUAUAUUAAUAAUUAUAUAUUGAUUAGUAACGAUAUUUAGUAAUAAGUACUGCUACUUUAUUACAUUUAGUGGCGUUCAUUAAUUUACGCUGCUAAUUUAUCCUAUUUUGUAACAUUAAUAAUAAAUUACUGCUAAAUUAUUAAAUCUAGCGGCAAUUAUUAAAUAAUGCUGUUAAAUAUAUUAAUUAGCUUAAUUUAAAUAAAUAUUGUGAAGUAAGUGUUGCAGCAUUUAGCAAUAAGUGCUGCUAUUUUGUUACAUUUAGUGUUAUUUUUUAUAAAAUGUUGGAAACUUCAGCGGCAUUCACUAAUUUAUCAAGUACGAAUAAUUGUAAAUUGCUACUAAUUGUAACUUCAGCGGCAUUCAAUAAGUGCUGGUAAUUUAUCCUAUUUGUAACAUUAAUUGUAAAUUGCUGCUAAAUUAUUAAAUCUAGCGGCAAUUAUCAAGUAAUACUGUUAAAUAUAUUAAUUAGCAUGAUUUAAAUAAAUGUUGUGGAGUAAAUGUCACUAAAUCAUGAAUUUGUUAUAGAAUUUUAUGAAACUCCAUGGUAGUAGCACUAGAAGCCCACUACUUGCUUUGUGAGUGCAAGGGCAGCGCUCCUGCAAAUUGGAAUAGUUAAGUCGGGGCCAAAGUUUUUCUAACCCCUAAACUUUUGAUCUACCAAUUUAGUUAAACUUAGACUAGUAUCGUUAAUUCUUUAGAGAUUUAACCGCUUACAUAUGUUGAUAGACCUUACUCCGUGGAUUUGUGGUAUCAUAGAGAGCAUGACAUCUAUUUUGCAGGUUAGGAUAUUUUGAGAGACGUAUGUUUUGUACUCAGCUUUCGAUUAUAAAAAGUUUUGCUUCAUCUUUGUUCAUGGAUUCAGGUCAGUGGUCAAACAAGAUUAUUUUCUUGUGAUUUUUUUUUCUUCUCUAUUUUUUGAUUCUCCGUUUUCUUUUAUCUGAUUUUUAGUCUUUGUUGUUACGAGAUACUUACCUCCCAAAUGUCUCACCUUGAAGCUGUGAAUGCCACUAUAUAGUUAGUACAUAUAGACGAAUAUAUAAGCAACGAGUUGAUUUAGGUAAAUAAUUAUUUAGCCACCACUCCAUCCUUCUUCUUUUCACUUAAUUGGAAUUGCCUUUUAUACUCAAAUUUUGGCAUGUUACAUACUAAAUGUUGAAAACUGAUGUGGAUAAAAUUAAAUUGUCUUAGAACUUCGAAGUAGAAAUUUUUCUUCACAGUGUGGGCCAUUAUUUCAUAAAUUGGAAGAUAAAUUAUGUUUGGCAGUAUGUUUAGGAUAUGAAAUCAAGUCUGCAGGAAAACUUAAUUUAUGUAUGCUUCUAACGGAUGAUUCCAAACUUAAUUUAUGUAUGCUUCUAACGGAUGAUUCCUUACGUGAUGCAGGAUGAGGACUUUCCUAAUUGAGGGUUUCAUGUGCCACACUCAUAAUGCUGCAUGGCACACUCUACACAACAUUAUUUGUGGGAGUGCUAACAAGAUGGAGAAUUAUCUAGACAUUGUCAAGAAUCAGCUAAAGUGCAAUGUAACUAUAUUUCACGGCCGAAAAGAUGAGCUCCUCCCUGUUGAUUGUAGCUAUGCUGUCGGGUCGAAGAUCCCUAGGGCUCGUGUUAAGAUCUAUGAUGAGAAGGACCAUAUCACGGUUGUCGUUGGCCAAGAAAGGGUUUUCGCAAGAGAGCUUGAAGAGAUAUGGAAAAAUGCUAUGCAUUAAAUAAGGAGGAGGAAGAAAGAAUUUAAACCUAAAUGAAAUAACUUCCCUCUCAAUGCACAGCUCAAAGAAAUGUGAUGCAAACAAGUGAUGCAUGUUUGAGCAAAUAUAUAUAUAUCUUUUGUUUCUCUCUUUCGUUCUUUUUUAAAAAAAUUUCUUUCUAAAGUACUUAUGUUUUACCACUAUAUGUGGUUCUAUAUGGUACCCCUUAUUCAAGUGUGAAAUAUGUAAGAUAGAAAUAUUAUGGGGAAAGAUAUAGAUUUCUCUACUUUUCAUAUAUUCUUCUUAUGAACUAUGUAGUAUUGUUAGUUAAUAACUUCAUUAUUAAAUCAUCAAUCUUACUACAUCGAGAGGGCAACAAAUUAUAUAUCACUCCCCGAGGCUGUUUUGUAAAAUAUUUUCUUUGAAAACGAGUGAAAAACAUGCUUUUUCUGAACUAAAAAACUGCCCUGAACAAGCACUGAUUCGCCAUACGAACAAAAUCUUCCCUAUCCAAAUGGAUAGAGUUUUUUCUGUACGCAUGACAUAUAUAGAGACAUAAAGUACAACAUCCAACCAUCAAACACAAUAGUAGCAACAACAACGACAAUAGAGAGAUAACAACAUACUAAUAAAUGAUCGACUAUUAUGAUGAAUAAAUGACUACUGCAGCCUCCAAUCUUCACAUACAACAAGUCACCUCCUACAACCAAAAUCAAAUAACAAUAUAUACAGGCCAGAAGCAAGAAUUAAUAAUACUGAAAAGUGAAGAAAUACAGAUACUAAAACCGACUACAAGGAAGCCACCCAAACUACUAAGAAGAACAAAUCUACAAAUGCUAAAUAUACAAUAACUAAAUAAUUAGGAGUUUGAAACAAAAGGUAUAAUUACAACUCAAAGUUACUGCCAGAGGGACUCAUCUAUCUAAUAGUACCUCAUGCACAGGCGGAUAUGUCACCUCUAGUGUCACCUGUGGAAACUAGGGAAUGAAAAACAUGUACACAUAUUUUUCAGUGCGUACUGCAAGCCGUCGAAGGCAAGCUGUACUCACUAGUAAAUAAGAGAGAGAGAGCGAUAAGGUAAAUACGAUAGGUAUAAACAGGUAUAAUUGAUAUAGUAAAAGUAAAACAAGAAAGAAAUCAUGCGACUAAAUAUUUGAAAUAAUAGCACUAUUGUAAAAAGAUAAGCAGAUGUAUAUAUGCAUCAAGCAAAUGAAUACUUCAAUACUCAGUCCCAAUCCAAACAAAUAUUGUCAUGUUGGUCUAAAGACCUUAGGCAAUGCCACACCUAUGCUUAGUCACUAGGCAUAUAAUCCUUCACGCCCUAGGGUUCGGCUCAUGUCACGCCCCGGGGUCCCUUUUCAGUUUAAAACAAAGCGGAAAAGCGUCUGAAAUUUUUUUUUUUUUUGAAAACCUGACCCCAGAGUAUGCCAGAUCCGCCACAAAUACAGGGAAUCCACUGUUCACACGGACAGAGUCUCCCCUGUAUUUGCACGGCGUCGCACAAGUACAAGAAGUCACCCAAGCACAACCACAACAAAUGAACAUACAAAUAACCAACCGUUAUAUAUAUUCAUACGCCAUUCACCACAGAUUCACAUGUAUGCAUAAAUCCACACCUAUCAGUUAAAAUAUUUCCAACCACAGAAACAGGUUUUGAAAUACUAAGAUGCAAAAUCCACAGAAAGCUUUUUGAAAACUGUUUCCUACACGGAAACCUUUAUUCUUUAAAAAUGCUACCACGAGGGGUAGAAAAUAUUUUACUUUACAAAAUCCAGAAAUCCGUUUAUUACAUUCACGAAAAUCCAUAUUUUCAAAUGUAAUAAAAAAUACUGAACCAUAUAACUAUCUAAGCUAUAACAACUGAAAUAAUAAGGGUAAUAACUAUACCGAAAUAACCUGGGUCGGAAGCUCUAUCGACCGCUACACACGUACCUCACGUCUCGUCCCACUACUCAUCGCCCGCGAUACCUGAAAAAUGGUGGGGGAGGUGAGAACAUGUAAACAUGUCUCCCCUCCCAGUGGGUACCGCAAGCCGAAGAAGGCGAGGAGUACUCACCGGAUCAGGAAGAACUAUACAACAACAUGGGUCAGUGGAAAUAAACAAGGUAAUGAGCAGAUAUACAAUAGCGAUAAACUGAAAGGAAGUAAGAACUAUACUGAAUAAACGGCUACCGCUACUGUAACUGGAACAGAAAGCAUACAUGAAUAUCUACUAUAGUAGCAAGACAACUAUAAAGUAAGAUCUGUAAGUAUGCAUGCAACGACUGCUACUAUAAACAUAUGCGUCAAUGGGACAAUCAGUCCAAAAGUACCCAAUCUGAAACCAAUGCUCUCUUGGUCAGCACCGCAGACCUCAAGCCAAUGCCCUGGAGGUCCGCACCGCAACACCUCCCGACAGUACCACUGCCGCUCUAACAUGCAUAUAACCCCUCUAGGGCUCACGGGUUGUCACCAUUCAACCACUUUUCCGGAAAAGAACACUCCUUGCGGUGGAUCAGACCGCCAGUGUUCGUGAAAUGCGACGAGUAUCGGGCGAUCAAUGCAAUAUGGUCAAUGAUCAACCGUCGGCAACCAGCCGACAAUCCUGCCCCCCAGGGCCUAUCGACCGCAUAGGUCAUCAACUGUAAAGAAGCACAAGAACCGACCACUCAGGUCAACUAGGAUGGGACAACAUCGACAUCCUCUCAAACAUAUGCAAAUACUGACUAAUCAAGUCAACUGGGAUGGAACAACUCAACAUCCUACCCACAGUAUGUAGAUACUGAUCAAUGAGUCAACUACUGUAUAUAUGCAAGAAUCGGUCAACAAGUCAUCUGAGUAUAUGAUCUAGAACUACCGUCGGCCACUAGUCGACAAUCCUACCCCUCAGGGUACACCGACCUCAAAGGUCAUCAAACAACAAGAGUCAAGGAACAAACCGACUAUAUACAGAUAUAAGAUACAAGAACGAAUCAACUAGGUCACCGAUUUCACAUAAAAUCACGAAACCGCUCUACUCUAAACAUGAUACAGGAUAUGCAGAAUAGCUAAGUAGAGCAACAAAGAAAUAUGGUAUAACUACUCUACUCCUACUCAUGAUAUAAAGAGAACAACCGAGUAGAGUGUAACUGAACAACAUGGUGCUAGGCUCAACACUAUAUAUCAAGAUAUAUAUAUGCUAGAUAAUAACGAAAGAGCAAAGGUAAGAAACCAUCACCGAGCGUGCACCACUGUACCGACGUCGGAUCGAAGUACCCACCUGUACAACUGUCGCGCCUGUCUCCUGACUGCAAAAGAACGUCAACAGGACCUAUGGAGGGUCCACUGGGUUAGUGUCUAACCCACAACUAAGAAAUACUACAUCGUAAUCCCGCUAACAAACCCACGGAGAUCAGUUUCCCAAAACCGACUACCGUAACUCGCCGGAAGUCCCAAAAAUCGCACCGGGACUCCGUCGGGACCCACGAACUGUCCCGAAAUGUUCCAACUCAGGAUACGAGUCACCCGCUGACACAAAACACACCAAUUUGGAUGUCUUGGCAGAAAACACAAGUUAACACAACUACACAAUUAUCGCCGGAUAAUUGUACGAACUCGGGUUCCCGAAAGUGUCAAAUUCGACACCGGAACCCACCGUCGCUCACUCGUCAUUUCUGAACUCUCGAAAUGACGCAAGUGGCCAGAAAACAAGGCUCGGCGACUACACAAUAGCUCACGAAGCACCGUCGGAAUAAUUCCGAACCGAACCCGCGUUCUAUCGGCGGAUUUCGCCGAAAAACGCAUCGAAAAUCACUUUUCGAUUUUCGCAAGGGCUUGGGGCCUUGGACGAUCAGUCCAGAGGUUAUCCUUAGCCCAAACGUGCUGCCAACAGCAUCUACAUCGAAGCAAAAGUCCUAAAAGCCCAUACCGAUACAUGAAAUCGCAUCAUUUCAUGUGAUUUCUAGGCUUUUCUGGACCGUGCACGCAAACCAGAGGUCGAUUAAUCCGACCGUCGCACUCGCUGACAGGUUUCAUCAUGUCGGAGGCCGUGCUCACCUUUCGGAGCACUGCCGACCACUGCGGUGCGCGCACGAGCGACACGAAAUCUGUGAAACAGUGCGCACAGCGCGAAGGUCGCGACUAACUUGCUAACCAGGGCAUCUUUGCCGCUGUCGGAGGUGAGCACGAUGUUCAGCACGAACCCUAGAUCAUCGUGCUCACUUCUCGAGGUGUCGGGGAGUCAUCGGAUCACCAGAAAGGUGGCCGGAAAGCUUAAAUUGCAAUGCUGGAACUCAAAAACAGCAUACCGGAGCAGUGGGAGCUAGGGUUGGUCGCCGGCGGCCGGGAGGCGGGCACUCUGGCCGGGGAUGGGAGCAGCCGGUCCGAGAGGUCCGGGGAGGGUGCUGGCCGGCGGCGGGCGGCAACCGGUGGCGCGGCGGAGGAGAUCGACUCCGCCCAUUCCCUCUCGGGUUCGUGCUUCCCGGCGGCGCGGCGGCGGCCGGAGGAGGUCGGGGCGGCUACGGUGCGGCGCCGGAGGCCGAGGGGAAAGUGGUGUACCCCCCGGUGGGCGGCGGCGGCACUUGGAUGUCGAGCGGGCCCGACCUCGGCCCGCACAGGUCUGGGUAGCUGCAGGAGAUCUCAGCGGCGGCCGGCGGCGCGCGGGGACGGCGGGGGACGCGCGCGCCGGGUUGUCGGAGGUCGCCGGGGCCGACUGGAGGGCGGCACGGCCGAAGUAAGGCGAGGACGCAGAGUUCGAGCUGGCUCGGUCUGGGUUGACCCGAGUUGGCCGCAGGGAGCGGGGGUGGAUCCGGUGGCGCUCGGGGGUGGUCGGGGCCGACGAGGGAGGACGACGGAGAUGGACCUCGGCCAGAGGAUGAUGCUCCAAGGGUGAAAGAAGCUUCCUUCGCAGCUUCGGCGAAGUCGGAGGAGAGGGUGGCCGAGAGAGCAAGAGAAGAGGUCGGGGUGGCUUUUCCGGCGGCCGGGGCAGCUCGCCGGCGGCUGGGGCGUGCGCGCGGGUUGGGCAGGGAGAAGGUGGGGCGGCUAGGGCUCGGUUCGGCUGAGGAGAAAGCCAAAAGCUAGGGUUUCCUCACGAAACCCUAGUGCAACUACUAUUUACAUAUGUACAAUUGCAAGAUAGUCCUCCCAGGGAUAAUAUUCUCAGUCAAGUCCCUCACAGCAUGUGUAUUUUACACAUACGCACCUCCAUGUCCGAUCUCAAGCAAUUCGGCACAUAAAAUAUUAGAUCUUUUCGCGAUUUAACCGUUUUGCCAAUUUGACCUCUUAGCGAUAACUUUGCAAUUACCGGAGAUCCGUCCGUCGGAUUUUCGAUCCGACUGUGCCAUCGCGUUCAGUACAACGGGGGCAUCGAAACUACGAUUUCGUUUCAUCCAAUUUGGUCACGGAUUCGCGACGGAACCCAUCUGCUCUCUAAUUAAUCCAUAUAUCGUACGUAUACCAAUGUGUAAACCCAUUAAACCAACUUUCGUAUUAGAAAUUGACUUCCCUACCACUAGUAGGGACCCGAAACAUUCUUCACCCUACUCCAGGUCACAAGCACGGGGCACGAGAAGCUUUAGAAUGCACAGAAAAGCAAAGAGCGGAAACCCUCUUUUCGGUAAAACUCCUUUUUCUCGAAAAUCGUGCAUCAGAUCUGAAAUCCGUCAGUGCCAUUGGUUCCAGAACAGCUGAACCGAUCGAAACGAGCUAUUGGAUCGCUAUGAACGGAGUCCGAUAAGCGCCGAAAGCCAACUCUACUCCGUGGCUUCACCGAAAAACUGGAGUUACUAUUCACUUAAGUGAAAACUAAUAAUCACGUAACUUCUCCGUUCUAGCUCAUUUUCUCCUGAAACUUGACGAGUGCUUAUGUAAUUAAAUUACACACAUAAAUAUCGUCAACAGAGAGUUUAGUUGCACUGUAAAAAUCUCAAUCCUUACAGCUCAACGUGGGUUUGCCAAUAGAUCUGCCGCAUACACAAGAAGCCUUGUGUAUACGAAGCGAUAGUAGUACUUGUAAAGUAUAAAAGAACAACUAUAAGCAAGUAAUAGGAUUGUAAAAAACUGCUAAAACUAAAACAUGAUCCACUGUACAUACAUAAGAUCUAGGGAGUACAAUAAAGAAAUCCAAAAGUACAAACAUCAUCUCUCGCAAUUGUAAAAUAAUAUAUAUAUAUAUAUAUACGUAUAAUAUAUAUAUAGAACGUUCGGCUACUAUGCUUAUCGUAGCACGAGCGCUCCGUGCUACCAAGUUGUUUUCGAUGAUGCGGCUUUCUGAUCGACGAUCGGCUCCGUUAGACUUGAUCGAACACUAUUGAAAGUAUUUGAAACUAAAUUUCAAAUUUUUUCGACAUCAUUUGACUAGUGAUCAAAAGAUCUCAAAAUUGACAAUUUUAAUGGCCGAUGUGGGUGUGUUUGUGAGUUAACGGUGUAAAAAUAAUCCAAAUGCGAUGAAAAAUUUAUAUAAAAAUUCUUUUCACUAUUUAGAGUAAGAUCAGUAUAUCUUUUUUGAAUUAAUCUUUUUAUAUCAUUUUUCUAUGAGAUUUUUAUUUUCAGCCGUUCAAUUUUAGACCUACUUGUUUGAUAGGUAAAUAAUAUUCCGAAAACACACUUAUGAACACUUAUUUCUAAAUACUUUCCCACAUAGUAUAGAUUCAAGCUCAACCGGAGCCGAUCGGUCGACUUCUGGAAGUAGCAUCAUCGAAAACAACUUGGCAGCACGGAGCGCUCCGUACUAUCGAUAGUAUAGUAGCCUAGCUCAUAUAUAUAUAUAUAUAUGUAUGUAUGUAUAUAUGUAUAGCAUAGUACUAAUAUAAUAAUAUAGAUAUAUCUAUAUAUAUAUAUGUAUACAUAUAUACAUACAUAUAAUAUAGAUAUAUGUAUAUAUAUUAUAUAUGUAUUAUAUAUAUAUAUACAUAUAUAUAUUACUAUAUAGAUAUAUUAUAUAUGUAUAUAGAUAUAUUACAUAUAUGUAUAUAGAUAUAUCACAUAGAUAUAUAUAGAUAUAUAUAUAUAUAUACUAUAUAUAUAUAUAUACUGUAUAUAUAUAUAUAGUAUGUUAUAUGAUUAUAUCUAUAUCUAGAUUGUAGGAUAUACAUAUAUAUAUAUAUAUAUAUAGUAUAUACACAAUAUAACAUAUAUAUAUAUAUAUUACAUAUAACAUAUAUAUGUAUAUCUACAUACAUAUAUACUAUAUGUAUAUCUACAUAUAUAUAUAAUAGUAUAUAUAUUAUUGUAUAUCUAACAAUAUAGAUAUAUAUGUAUAUAUAUAUAUAUAUUAUAUAUAUAUAUACUGUAUGUAUAUAGUAUAUACUAUAGAAAUUUAAAUAUUCUGUAUAUUAUAUAUAUAUACAGGAUAUACAUAUAUAUAUAUAUAUGUAUGUAAUAUAUAGUAAUAUAUAGUAUAUCUAUAUAUAUAUAGGGUAGUUAUACCAGAUAUAUAUAACCUACCUAUAAUCAUGUAUAUAUAUAGGUAAUACAUAGGUAGGUUAAUACAUAUAUAAUAUAGUAGAAGGUGGUAUACAAUAUAUUAGGGGGGGGGUAGGUUAUAUAACCUACCUAUAUAUAUAUAUAUAUAUAUUAGUUUAGUAUUAAUAUUUAUAUAUAUAUAAUAUAUAUAUACUAUAUAUAUUUAUAUAAUUAUAUAUUAUAACCUACAAUCUAUGAUAUAUAUAUAACCUCCUAUAUAUGGUUAUAUAUAUAUAUAAUAUGUAUAUAAUAAUAUACCUAAUCUAUAUAUAUAUAUAACCGAGUUGGGCUGGGGUGCUUUCGGAAAGAAGCACGGAGCGCUUCCGUGCUUCCACUUUGUUUUCCGAUGUUCGGACUUUCGAAUCGACGAUCGGCUCCGUUAGAGUUGAUCUACGAGCUAUUUAAAGUACCAAGAAUUAAAUUUUGCGAAUUUUUCGAUAUCAUUUGCCUUAAGUGAUCCGAAGGGGCUUCAAAAUCAAUAAUUUUAACGGCCGUGGUGAGCCAGUUUGCAAGUUUAACGGUAUAGAAAUAUCCCAAAUCCACGGAAAAUUUUGAUAGAAUUCUUUAUUACCAUAUAAAACAAGAUCAAUACUUUUGUGAUCUAAAUUUUAAUGGUCGAUAUCAUCAUAUUUUGGUGAGAUUUUUAUUUUCAGCCGUUAUUUGAGCCACUUCGAUCACUAGGGCAAAUGAUAUCGAAAAAUCGCAAAAUUUAUUUUCUAGAUACUUCAAAUACCUAGAUCAAGUCAUAAACGGAGCCGAUCGUCGAUUUGAAAGUCCCAACAUCGGAAAACAAAGUGGAAGCACGAGCGCUCCGUGGCUUCUGAAAGCACCCCCAGACGCUACUCAUAUUAACUUACCUAUAUAUGUAUAUAGUAUAUAGGUAGGUUAUAUUAUAAUAUAUAUACAUAUAUAGGUAGGUUAGUAUAGUAUAUACUAUAUAGGAGUUAUAUAUUAUAUAUAUAGUAGGUAGGUUAUACAUAUAUAUAUAGUUAGGUAGGUUAUAUUAUAUAUAAUAUAAGAUAUAUAUAUAGGUAGUUAGGUAGAUGUAUAUAUAGUAUAUAUAUGAACUAUAUAUAUAUAACUAUAUUAUAUAUAUAUAGGUUAAGUUAUGUAUAUAUAUAUUAUAUAUAUAUUAUAUAUAUAUAUAUAUAUAUAUAGUAUAUAUAUAGUUAGUAGUAUAUAUGUAUAUAUAUAUAGGGUAGGUAGAUGUAUGUAUAUAGGUAGGUUAUAUAUAUAGUAUAUAUAUAUAUAUAUAUAUAUAUAUAUAUAUAUAUAUAUAUAUAGAUAUAUAUAUAUAUACAUAUAUUAUAAUAUAUAUAUGUAUAUACAUAGUAUAUAUAUAUCUAGUAUAUAUAUAUAAUAUAUAUAUAUAUAUAUAUAUAUAUAUAGUAUAUACUAUAAUAUAUAUAUACAUAUAAUAUAAUAUAUCUAUAUUAUAUAUAGUAUAUAUAAUAGUAGGUAGGUUAUAUACCUGAUAUAUUUAUAACCAACAUAUAUAUUAUAGGUUGUUAUACAUAUAUAUAUAUAGUCAUAACCUACUAUAUAUAGUAGUUUAUAUACUAUAUAGGUAGAUUAUACAUAUAUAUAUAUAGGGGUAGUUAUAUAUAUAUAUAGAGAGUAGUUAUACAGAGUAUAUAGGUAGGUUAUAACCUACCUAUAUAUGUAUAUAUUAUUAUAACCGUACAUCGUAUGUAUAUUAUAACCCACCUAUAUAUGUUAUAUAUAUAUAUGUAUAUUGUAGGUAACUACGUAUAUAUAUAUAUAGCUAUAUAUAUAUAUAUAGUAUAUAUAUAUUAAGUAUACAUAUAGUAUAUAUAUAUAUAACUACAGUCGUAUAAUUAUAUAACCUACCGUAUAGUAUGUAUAGUAUAUAUAGGUAAUACAGAUAAGUAUAUAUAUAUAUAUAUAUAUAUAUAGUAUAUUAGUAUAUAUAUAUAUAUAGGAUUAUAUAGUAGUAUAUAUAUAUAUAAUACGUAUAUAUAGUUAUAUAUAUCUGUAUAACCUACCUAUAUAUAUAUAUGAUAUAUAUAUAUAUAAAUAUAGAUAUACUAUAUAUGUAUAUAGAUAUAUCUAUAUAUAGCAUAUAUAGAUAUAUCUUAUAUAUAUAUACAUAUAUACAUAUGAUAUAUAAUAUAUAUAUACAGUAUAUAUAUAUAUAGUAUAUAUAUAUAUAUAUAAUCUUAUAUGUAUAUAUGUAUAUAUAUAUAGAUAUAGUCUAUAUAUGUACUAUAGUAUAUAUAUGGAGUCGGUACUAUACUAUCGGUAGCACGGAGCGCUCCGUGCUACCAAGUUGUUUUGAUGAUGCGGCUUCCAAAUCAACGAUCGGCUCCGUUAGACGUUGAUCUACACUAUUGAAAGUAUUUGGAAACUAAAUUUCAAGGUUUUUUUUACAUCAUUGACUAGUGAUCAAAAGAUCUCAAAAUUUGACAAUUUUAAUGGGCCUAUGUGGUGUUUGUGAGUUUAACGGCUGUAAAACAAUCCAAAUGCGGAUGAAAAUUUUAUAGAAUUCUUUUCACUAUAUUAGAGAAAGAUCAGCAUAUCUGAUCUUGGAAUUUAAAUCUUUAUCAUCCAUUUUUUAUGGAGCAUUUUUAUUUCAUGCCGUUCAAUUUGUGAGGGCUACUUGUGUUGGUAGGUUAAAUGGUAUUGAAAAAUUAUAAAAUUUAGUUUUCUAAAUACUUUUUUAAAUGAGUGUAGAUCAAGUCUAACGGAGCCCGGAUCGUCGAUUUGGAACCGCAUCAUCGAAAACAACUGGUAGCACGAGCCGCUCCGUUGCUACCGAUAGUAUAGUCAGCCUAGCUUAUAUAUAGUAUAUAUAGGUAUAUAUAUAGUAUAAGUAUAGUAAGUAUAUAUAUAUAUACAUAUAUAUGUAUAUAUAAUAUACAUAUUUAUGUUAUAUAAUAUACAUAUAGUAUGUUAUAUAAUCUAUAUAUGAUACUAUAUGUAGUAUAUUUUGUAUACAUAUAUAUAUGUUAUAUAUGUAUAUACAUAUAAUAUAAUAUAUAUAUGUAUAUUAUAUGUAUAUAUAAUAGUAUAUAUGUAUAUGUAUAUGUAUAUAUAUAUAUAUAUUAUGUAUAGUAUAUAUAUGUAGUAUGUAUAUGUAUAUGGUAUAGCUUAUAUAUAUUAUAUAUAUAGUAUUAUAGUAUAUAUGUAUAUAGAUGGGGUAUACAUUAUAUAUAAUGUAUAUAUAUCAUGAUAUGGUAUGGUACUCCGUGCUGUAUAGUAUAUAUAUAUAUGUAUGGUAUAUAGUAGUAAAUAUAUGUAUGUAUAAUAUAUAUGUAUGUAUAUAUAUAUAUAUGUAUAUAAUAUAUUAUGUAUACAUAACAUAUAUAUAUAGUGGUUAGUACGAGUGUUUGAUUAUUAAGAGUAGAUAGUGUAGAGGUACAUAUGAUUGAUAAUUGUAUAAGAGGGGAUACAGGAUAUAUAUAGUAUGUAUAGUGAUAUAAUAUUNNNNNNNNNNNNNNNNNNNNNNNNNNNNNNNNNNNNNNNNNNNNNNNNNNNNNNNNNNNNNNNNNNNNNNNNNNNNNNNNNNNNNNNNNNNNNNNNNNNNUUAUUUAUAGACUUUAGAAUCAAUCGGAGUCGAAUUAGAAAGUUUUCACGGUUUUACACUGUGUACUGGUACACUUUAAGCUGUUACCGGUUACACGAUGACGGAACGAAAAACCUGACGAAACAGUGAAACCGGUUACAUCCUUGAUGGUCGUACUGGUACACAUUUUGUACCGGUACACUUCUGAUGCUGUACCGGUACACUUUGCAAAUUUCCGCCGUUUCGGGUUUUGCAAAGUCCCAAUGCACUUUCUAAUUCGUUAGACAUUGAUAACAUGAUUCUAAUGUCUACAACUAAGUAUGAAUCACCAUAACAUGAAUUUAUACUUUACCUGAGCAUCGUGAUUCAUAUCGUGAGUUAUUUUCCAACUUUUUCAAAAUCCUGAUUUCUUCGAUCUUCGACGAUAUGCACUGGUUCUUCAAGACUCCGACUCACUUCACGAAACUUGCCAAUACACAAGACUUAACAACCUUAGGCCGGUUGGACUAUAGGAAAUAGGCUCGUGAGAGACGAGGUCUAUUUGACUUGUGAGCGAAAGUAUCAUGAUUGGGUAUCUUGAUAACUCUAUAAAGUUGGAGUUGAUCGAAGUGUAUGACUUCUAACUUCGCGGAGGGUUACGUUGGCGGCCGACAACGUAACAUCGGGAGUUAGUGGUGAAGAACACUUCCUUACUUUCGCAUGAUUUGGGUAUUAUCUUUUGAGCGGGGGUUCGAUAGCGUGGGUUUACUAACUUGCGCUUUUAUGAUGUUGUAGUGACGAUGCCGAUUACACGCUCUCAAUCUACCAGAGCGGAUAAUGCGGCAAACUUGGAGGAGGUCGAGACCUCCGCUACCUCCGGAUCCGGUGAGGUCCGUGAGUUGAGGGGCCAGCUUGCGGCCCUCACUGAUAUGGUGGCACAGCAGACAGAGGCAGCGCGCCGGCAGGAGGCGCGGAUGAAGCGCCUGGAGGACCUUCUUCUGCAACAGGCGGCAGCUUCCAGGGAAACUCAGGCCCCUACACCGCCAGCACCAGUCGUGGACGUCACGCCGAGAGCGCCAUCCCCCGCGCCCAGUUCUUCGUGAGCAGCGCCCAUGGCCGCGCCUCAGGAGGAGGCUAUCGCGGCACCACCUGUGCAGAGGCCCCCAGUUGGAGCAGCUUUCCCUACCUUGGUCGAGGGAGUGGAGCGGGACCGACUCAUGGAGCGCCUCAACGAGUUCAGGAGGUGCAGUCCCCGAAUCUUCGACGGCGAGAAGGUCGACCACUGGAUCGUAGAGAAGUGGUUGAUGCAUAUGGAGAAGCUCUUUCGCGACACCUUCGUGGAGGAGAGGGAUCGGGUUUGGCUCGCCACACACCACCUGGACGGCGAGGCCUAUCGCUGGUGGUUGGAUCUCCAGGAGCACCCCAGCACUGAUUUGGCAGCUAUUACUUGGAAGAGGUUCAAGGAGCUUCUUUUGGCGCAUUACUUCCCGACUAGCGUCAAGAGGAAGAUGGAGCAGGAUUUGCGCAACUUGCGCCAGGGAGACAGGACAGUAGCCGAGUACGAGCGGGAGUUUUCUCGGCUUUUACAUUGCGUGCCUUUCGUCGUGCGGGACGACGAGGACAAGGCCCGCAUCUUCGAGCGAGGGUUGCGACCGUCGAUCUUCCGGUUUGUGCAAUCCUCUAACCUCCAAACCUACCAGGAGGUGGUGGAUCGCGCGCUCAUCGUGGAGAGCGGCACGGCAGAUGUCCAAGAGCGGCGAGAGGCUAUGGACAAGGGUAAGGCCAAGAGGCCUGCGGCUGAGGGUGCGAGCCAGACGCACUCUAGGAGGCCGCCGAAGCAUCCUAGGAGCCAGCAGCGUGGGCGUGGCUCGGCGACUCACCAUGGAGGUUCUGACCGACGCCGACCUCCCCAGUGCGUGAUCUGUGGUGGCCCCCACAUUCCACCGCAGUGCCCGCAGCGAGGAGGGAGGUGUUUCCAGUGUGGCCAGGAGGGCCACUUUCGGACCGAGUGCCCGAGGGGUUCGUCACCGGCACCGUCAUCUGCAUCGGCACCGGCUCUACCAGCCGCCAGCCACGGGACUCCAUCAGCGCAGUACCAGCUCGGGCGGCCACCCGCCCAGCGCCAGAGCGAGGGUUCUCGACAGGCCCCGAGUGGGCGUAUGUAUGCCGCUCAGACCGAGGAGGCGGCAGCAGCCGAGGAUGUGGUCGCAGGUAUCAUUUUUACUUGAUGCAUUAGAGUUCGUGCAUUAUUUGAUACCGGUGCAUCGCAUUCAUUCAUAGAUCGGCUGUUUGCCGAGUUGCAUGGCAUCCCUAUGUUUUCUUUGUUGCAUCCGGGACGUGUAGUUGUCCCUGACCACUCUUUGGAUAUUAGAGAGUAUUGCCCCAGUUGCCCUAUUCGGGUAGGAGAUUGGAUUAUGUCCGUGGACUUGCUAGCCUUGCGCAAGCUGGGGGAGUUUGAUGUGGUCUUAGGCAUGGAUUGGUUGACCAAGUUUUAUGCCACGAUAGAUUGCAAGAAUCGCACGGUUACUUUUAGAGAACCGGGGCAAGUUGAGGUGAUAUUUAGAGGAUGCCAGAGUUCGCUUUUUGCGAUGACGAUCAGCUCGUCUCGAGCUAGGCAACUGAUCAGCAGAGGUUGUGUAGCCUACUUGGCUAGUGUUGUGUUGAGGGGCGAGGGUGAUACCCCGAGGAUUGAGGAUAUUCCGGUGGUACGGGAGUUUUGUGACGUGUUUCCAGCUGAGCUACGGGGCAUGCCACCCGAUAGGGAGAUUGAGUUUGUGGUAGAUCUCAUCCCUGGGACUACUCCAAUCUCGAAAGCGCCCUAUAGGAUGUCACCGGCGGAGCUGAAGGAGCUGAGGGCACAGCUGCAGGAUCUUCUGGAUAAAAGCUUCAUUCGACCGAGCGUCUCGCCUUGGGAAGCACCAGUUUUGUUCGUCAAGAAAAAAGACGGAUCACUUCGCCUAUGCGUGGACUAUCGCGAACUUAAUAAAGUCACGAUUAAGAAUAAGUAUCCGUUGCCGAGGAUCGACGACUUGUUUGAUCAGCUUCAGGGAUCGUGUGUGUAUUCCAAGAUCGAUUUGCAGUCGGGAUACCACCAGUUAAAGAUCAAACCCGAGGAUGUAUCGAAGACGGCUUUUAGAACCCGGUAUGGACAUUAUGAGUUCACUGUUAUGCCGUUCGGGCUUACUAAUGCCCCCGCAGCUUUUAUGGAUCUAAUGAAUCGUGUUUUUAAGCCUUAUCUAGACAGGUUCGUCGUGGUGUUCAUAGACGAUAUUUUGGUUUAUUCCCGAAGUGAUACAGAUCACGAGGAGCAUUUGAGGCUUGUACUUCAAGUACUUCGGGAAAAGGAGCUCUAUGCCAAGCUAAAAAAGUGUGAAUUUUGGCUUCGAGAGGUAGCUUUUCUUGGACAUUUGAUUUCAGGAUAGCUGUGGAUCCUAAGAAGAUUGAAGCAAUCAAGGAUUGGCCGAGACCGACGAGCGUCACGGAGAUACAGAGCUUCCUUGGAUUGGCCGGGUACUACCGGAGAUUUGUUGAGGGGUUCGCCAAGCUGUCUACUCCCCUCACGAGGCUCUUAGGAGAGACCGGUCUCCCAGGGACCGGUCCCUCAGGUGAGGACCGGUUCCCGAACGCGAAAAGUCCCCAGACUGCAGGGAGAGCUCUCGGGGACCGGUCCCUUGUCGGGGAGACCGGUCCCUCUGGGCGAAAACAGCCCAGUGAUAGCAGGUUGAGAGAUGAAAAGUUGAGGGGCUAAAGUAGAUUUUGUUACAAUAGAGGGGCAUAUUAGCCCACUCCCCCUCUCAGCCUCUCAUUUCUCUCUCUCCCUCACUCUCAUUUCUCUCUCGCUCUUUCUCUCUCUAAAAAGGAAAGGAGAAAAAGAAGAACAAGAAGGAGAGGAAGGAAAAGAAGAAGAAGAUAAGGAAGGAGAAGAAGAAGGAGAUCAAGAGGAAGGCUUUGAGCACCUCCAUCUCCCUCUCCUCUUCUCUUUGGUGUAGCUCGUGAGGUAAGCUACUAAACCCUAGCUUCUAGAACUUAGGGUUUUGGGUUUUUAUGCUUUGGAGUGGGUCAAAUGGACCCUAGGCAAGCUUCUAAGUAGAUCAAUCCCUUGAUUCUAGGGUUUUAUCGGUGGGUUGCUAUAUGUGCAACCUAGGGCUCCAAAUGGGGCAUUUUGUAAAGUAUGAGAUUGAUCUCAUUUGAGGCCUUGUAAACCCCAUCGAUAGGUGCCCAAACGCGGGGGCGAAGUCGAUUUCGCGAUUCGUCAAGCGGGCUUAGAGCAAUCGGCGGAUUACGGUCGUUUCGGCGCUAUCUUGGAUUAGGGAAGGCUAAAGCCUUUUCGUAAAGCUCGCCGAGGAGCGUUCUUGAGGCCUCUACGUUGAUAAAAGGUGGGGGGUGUCAUCCCGAAGCUUUCGAACUCCUUUCUAUGUCUUAGAUUGCAUUUAAUCUCAUCUCUUCAUGUUGCAUUGUAGGAUUGCAUAGUAGCUCCAUUCCUUAUGCUUUCUAAAUGAUAACCUAGUGUACUUGGAACGCUUGGUAACUUAGAUAGGUGAGGAUUGGGUCGGAACGUGGAUCCUAUGAUGUAAAAGAAAAGAGGUGAACCCGAUGGGGGUAUUGAUGACAUAGAAGGUAGUGUUAGUGUUAAAGAACACAUGAGUGGCAUCCAAAUGUUAAAUGAUGACGAGUGGCAUUAAUGUAGUGUAUAUGACACUAGAGGUUUGAGAACCUAGGGAUAGGUGGAUCCCUUAGAAAAUGCCUUGUGAACAAUGAAUUUAGAAAACUAAAUAGCAUUGCAUGAAUGUCGGGAACCGAUGAUUCCGCGAUAGUCGUUGACCCUAGUGUAGGGCGUCCUCACUUGGAGAGGAUUCGAUUGGGUUAUUGACUCUAGUUGUAGAGCCUCCUCACUUGGAGAGGAUUGGAUUGGGUGUUGACCCUAGUUACAGUGUAUCCUCACUUGGAGAGGAUAGAUCUAGCUCACAGUCUGCGUUUAGGAUGGUAUAGCCAUCCAAUCCCCACAUGGAGGGGAUUGUCGUCGAGUACUCCGGAGUGUCGCGCGACUAGGACCACUUGGAGGUCCGGACCACAUGGAGGUCCGCAGACGGUCCCGGGCUUGGGUGCACUUGGAGCUCCCUCCCCACUUUGGGAUUGGAAGAUGAGUUAUGGGUGAGCCCUAGGGCCUCGCCACAGAUUGGGUAAAUGAAAGGUUAAAGGUUUAAUAAAUGUCAUUGAACAUAGCUAUUCGAACAUGGAUCGAAUUUGGUAGCAUGGUAGCAAACCUUUAUUAUAUGAUGCAUGCAUUCAUAUUCAUGAUUAUGGGCAUAGUAGCAUAGUUUUCCUACUACUGCAUUUACAGCUUUCAGAUACAUAUCUAUCUAUCUAUCUAUCUGUUGUUACUUGUGCCCACUUGGACCUAGUGGGGAGAUCGGCAGAGUCGGCGGCCGAGCCCACUGGGAACUAUGGAAGAUAGUUCUCACCCCACUCUAUUUUCAGUAGUAGGUACAGGGUUAUCGAGAGAGGACCACGGCAAGGGCAUCGCGCCCGAUCAGUGAGACCGUGGUAGUAUAGUAGCUUUCCUUUUGCAGUAGCACACCUAUGUAUUGCGAGAGAUUCAUGUAGGUGAGGCUGGAGAGUUAUGUAUUUUGAGGAUCAAAUGUAUUCAUUUUGGAAAAUGAUGUAAAUGUAAAGAAUGCAACUAUUGUAAUAGUUAGUAAAGUACUCUCUUUAUUUCACUCGUAUAUCUUGUGGAUUACUUGCUCUUCUUGUUGUUGGCACUGUUUGUGCCCUCGUUGAAUAUGUAUGUUUAGAAUUUAAAGCCCUGGGUAAAUUCUUGUGCACAUUCAUGUUAUUGAGCCUUGGGCGGACAGGAGAGGUGCUGUCCGUUCGGCGGACCGUCGCCACGGCCGAAUCGUGCCAAAUUGGUAGUGGUUUCGGGGCGGGGCGUGACAGCCAGCCUCUCGCCAACUUCACUCCAAUGAAGUGGCGAUCUACACUUCCGUCCAUAAAGUGCCUCGAAGGGUGCCAUCUUGAUGCUUGCUUGAUAACUAUUGUUAUAAGCAAACUCCGCCAUCGGUAGAUGCUGCGACCAUCCUCCCUGGAAGUCAAUCACACAUGCUCGGAGCAUAUCCUCUAAAGUACGAAUGGUGCGCUCCGACUGUACGUCACUCUGAGGGUGGAAAACAGUGCUGAAAUCCAAUCGGGUGCCCAAGGCGUCCUGUAGACUCCUCCAAAAGUGAGACACAAACCGAGUGUCUCGGUCCGAUACUAUCGAUAUAGGCACUCCAUGAAGUCGCACAAUCUCAUCAAGGUACACUUGUGCGAGCUUCUCUCCGGUCCAAGUAGUAUGAAUAGGUAUGAAGUGUGCCGACUUCGUCAACCUAUCCACGAUCACCCAUAUAGCCUCAUGCCCGGCCUGAGAGCGGGGCAAUCCAGUCACGAAAUCCAUGGUGAUCUUCUCCCACUUCCACACGGGAAUAGGCAAACUCUGAAGUUUUUCCGCGGGUAAUCGAUGCUCAGCCUUUACUUGUUGGCAAGUUAGACAACGAGCUACAAACUCGCCAACAUCCUUUUUCAUCCCGGGCCACCAAUAGAAUAACUUUAAGUCCUUGUACAUCUUGGUGCCAUCCGGAUGUACAGCAUACGGUGCUCGGUGUGCUUCAUGAAGAAUGUCCUCUUUGAUUUCCGCAUCCGCCGGUACACAUAACCAUCCGCGAAAACACAUCAAUCCUUGGUCAUCCACAAGGAAAUCGCCGGUGCAACCAUUAACCAUUUUAUCUCUAAUCUUUUGCAACUCCGUAUCGGAAGCUUGCUUCUCUUUAAUCCUAUCCACAAGUGUAGGUUGCACCACCAAAGUCAUCAACCUUAAAGACGUGUCUGGAGUCACUACCUCCAACUCCAACCGCUUCAUAUGCUCGAUCAACUGCGGUUGAGCCACAACAUGCAUCGCUAAGUUUUCUGUCGAUUUCCUACUUAGCGCAUCCGCCACCACGUUAGCCUUGCCCGGGUGGUAUAAAAUUGUCAGGUCGUAAUCCUUGAGCAGUUCCAACUAUCUGUGCUGUCUCAAGCUCAACUCCUUCUGAGUGAACAAGUACUUCAAGCUCUUGUGAUCCGUGUACACUUCACACCGCUCGCCAUAAAGAUAGUGGCGCUAUAACUUCAAUGCGAAGACUACGGCCGCCAACUCCAAAUCAUGCGUCGGGUAGUUCUUUUCAUAUUCCUUUAGUUGGCGCGAAGCAUACGCGAUCACUUUGCCAUCCUGCAUCAACACACAACCCAAUCCAUUAAGUGAAGCAUCACUAUAAACCACAUACCCUGCUCCAGCCAUCGGCAGGGUUAGGAUCGGGGCGGUCGUCAAUCUUUGCUUCGAUUCUUGGAAGCUUCUCUCGCAUGCAUCAUUCCAAAUGAACUUGACUCCUUUAUGCGUGAGACCGGUUCCCGAAAGGGGAACCUUCAGGACUUAGCCAAAUUUAGGCUUCCUCUCGCGGGUGUCGCGCACGGGGACCGGUCCCCUCAGCCAGGGACCGGUCGCAUCGGCCUUGCCCCGCGACCCUCAGCUACGGGGACCGGUCCUUCCCUCUAGGGACCGGUCCCCGAGAGCAAAAAUCUGCUGAGUCCAGAUUUUAUCUAUUUGCUCUCGCGGACUCAACUCCAAAGCACUUUUUGUGUUUUGGGCAUUCUUAACUCCCACAAAGGGUAUUCUCUCGACAGUGAGUCGAUCCUGGACAAAGUACAAUCCUCGUAUUUCGAGAAUUCACUUCCUUACACUGGCAUUAGGCUCUGACGUGCUCCAGGAAGCUGAGGACAAGAUUCGUAUUGCUCGGGAGCGACUUUUGACGGCACAGAGUAGACAUAGGAGCUACGCCGACCGACGACGGUGAGACUUGGAGAUCCAAGUUGGAGACCAUGUUUUCUUAAAGGUCUCGCCGACUAGAGGGAUCAGGAGAUUCAGGAUUCGGGGAAAGUUGAGCUCCCGUUUCAUUGGACCGUAUGAGAUUUUGGAACGUGUAGGUCCGGUAGCGUAUCGACUUGCUCUACCACCGAACCUAUCGGGCGUACACAACGUCUUCCAUGUAUCGGUCCUUCGGAAGUACAUCUUCGACCCGACUCAUGUGUUGGAUGCUACACCUGUGGAGUUGCGGGACGACUUGAGCUUCGAGGAGCAACCAGUGAAGAUCUUGGCUCGCGAGGUUAAGAAACUACGGAAUCGGGACAUUCCGUAUGUAAUGGUCCUUUGGAGCAACCACGAGGAUCGGGAGGCCACGUGGGAGCUAGAGAGCGCGCUGCAGGAGCGCUAUCCCCAUCUCUUACAGAUGGAGUCUUGAGGUAUGUAGUUUGAUUUCGAGUUUCGCGGACGAAACCCCUUUUUAGGAGGGGUGAAUGUAACACACUGGACCUUUGCAAAUUGCGAGGUUCAAGUGUUUGAUCUGUGUUCCGAGCUUUGCCAGAUAUUCUGGAAGGUCGUUGACAGUGUUUUGACCUAUGGCUCGCAUCCCAAGAAUUGAGGUUUAAAGCUUGUACCAAAAUCCAAAAAGAUGGAUUGUUGGUCCUGCUCUCGGGUCAGCCUCAGCCAGGCUGUGUACCGGUACAGCCUUGAUGGUUGUACUGGUACAGGAUUUGUACCGAUACACCUUGAUGAUUGUACCGGUACACUUCGGGUUUUCUACCAACCCGAGGCUCGGGUUGGGCUGUUUCAUAGGAAGUGUACCGGUACACUUUCCCGUGUACCGGUACACUUUCCCGUGUACCGGUACACAAUGCAGACUGGGCUGUUUUCGAGGAGGGGUGUAUUUGCAAUUAUUGCAACCUCUUUAAAUACCACCCCAGCCCCUUUAGCUGCUCUUUUGAGCCCUAGACCUGUGGAGAAAAGGUGAGAACUCUUCCCCUUUGGAUUCUUCUCCAUUUUUGGUGGAUUUUAGUUGGUUUUGAUCUCUCCUUUCUUCUCCUCCUUGUUUUUUGUUGGGUUUCCUCCAUUGUUGAGACUUGGAGCUUGAAGAAGAGCUUGUUUGAGAAGAGAUCUCCAACCCUACUUGGUUUGGAGCUUGGUUUGGGGCAUCUUGUGAGGUUUGUAGCAUGUAUUUCUCUUUUCAUACAUGUUUUAGUGGAUUUGGAUCUUGUAACCCUAGAUUUUGAGAUUUAGGGUUAGAACUAGGAACUUUUGAUUUGAGGCUUCUAGAACCAAAUUGAUUGGUUUAGAAUCAUGGUUUAGGUUGGCUUUGAAGGAUUCUUACUCCCUUUUGGAAAUCAAGAGAGAUUUUCACCAUUUUCGGUGAGUUUUUAGCCCUUUCUUUGAGUUGCUUAAUGUUUGAACUCAUGAAUUGUCGUUUCGAUGUUACUCCCCUAGCCUAUCUCUUAGGGUGCUAGGAGUGAUUAUCGAAGCUUCGUUAGCGUUUCGGACGCCCGCGCGGAGCUUUUGGUGGGUUCGGCUUCAUGUGAAUAGGGGAAAAUUCCUCCUAAGGGGUUAAUAUGUGUUGUAUUAUCAUUUUGCAUGCAUUUUCAUACUAGAUAGGAUUUAUGUGAAUUUUGAAUACUUAAAAUGCAUGUGUUGCGUAUCAUGAAAAUCCUUCUCUACAUAGUAGAGCAUUAUGUGUAGUGUACAUGAAUGUUUAAAGUAUUCUCUUUUUCAAGUUGGAAAAUAUGUUGCAUGUGAGGAAGAUGGUUGAAAUAUGUAUUCAUGAAUAUUAAACUCAUGUUUGAAUAUAGUGAACUAGAAUGCCAUAAAGGGGCACUUGACUUAGCAAAUUGUGAAAUUGCAACAUAGAGACAUAGUGAUAGGCCAUCGAGACAUAUGCUAUAUUUCAUGUUUUAGACAUGACGACAUAGUGAUAGGCCAUUGAGAUAUUUUCCACAUUCCAUGUUUUAGACAUGAUGACUUGGUAUUUGAGACGGACUUUUACGCUUGCUUGCCAUUGUGCUCAUUCACACAUGCUUGUAAGGGUCGCUCCCUACAAGCCGGCACUCCGGAGAUAGCCAUCGCGACAUAUGCUCGCUCGUGCGGGAUUGGGCGCCGAAAUGGAAUGCCGUGGGGGAAGCUCAUUCCUAGAGUGGGGAUGUUGACUACCACGGGGCCAUUAGGCACGGCGCAGGCCAGACAGCCUACGGAUGGGUCUUACAUGAUUGGAACUUAGUGACAGAACAUGCCAUUUGGACUUUGACCAGAAUAGUAAACAAUGACAUUUACUAUUUAGCUUGUGGACAUUAUGUUAGUGAUGCUCGUUUAUAUUCUGUUACAGUAGCUUUAUUACUUAUGCAAUUCAUGCUAAGUAGAGAUAUCAUGUUGUAGUAAGUUACAUGUUUACUUACAUAUCGAUUCUAUUGCUUUUAUUGUUACUUACCUGUUUAGCUCUUUUGGGCCUAGUGGUGCUUUCACUGAAGUCAGUAAUUGCCACUGGGAACUAUUAUUUAAUAGUUCUCACGCCCCCGUUUCUAUGGUUUUAUUUCAGAGCCCUCUACACCGGUGGAGGCACGGGACCGCGGCAAGGGGAUCGCUUAGCUAGCUAGCGAGGAGCGUUUCUUUUGCAUUUUGGUAGUUCGCUCUCCUUUUGUUGUAGUUGAGAGAGAGAGAGUUAUGUUAGUACCUUGUAUAGAGAGACCACCUAUGUAUCUGGUUUAGCAUUUGUACUUUGGAUGUUUAUUGUACUACUUUCUAUUUUUUCUUAGUGGAUUUAGCUCUAUAUUCAUUUCGGUUAUUGUAGCAUCUAGACAUACUUGCUCUGAUACUGCUAGAUGUUUUCUUUAUCUUGCUUUAUUUAUCGUUUUAUUUUAGACGCCUUAUAUGUUUUAGACGUAUGCCGGGUCUGGGCACGUGCCGGGCGGGCUUUCGCUGGGUCCCGGGGCGUGACAACGGAACUCAUAGCAAGUAUGAUCCAUUCUUAACUCUAAGGAUAUAUAGUUCAAUCAUUGUCUUUACACUAACUCUAGUGUUCUUUACAUCACUUUAUUUUGCUAACUCUAGCAAUCAUCGUUCUUUAACUUUACUCGUUCUUUAUGCCAAACUUUGCAUUAACUUUAACCAUUAUCAUUGUUCUUUUCAUCACAUUGAUUCUUUGAUGCCACACACUAACUUUAGUGUCGACUAUAUACUUUCGAAUGCCACUCGAUCUAUGCUCAUUGUGUCUCGUUGUUCUUUUGCCUCACUUGGGUGCUCACAUUUUAUCUCAUGCAUACAUAUAGGGUUAAACAUUCAUAGGGGUUCUCAACCAUCUCAUUAGGCAAAUUGUACUCACAACAUGCAACAUUACAUUAUUCUCAUUACAUAUACCCUACUAUGCUUGCAACAAUGUAUAUAACAUAUACUCAAUUGAAUGACACACUAGGCAUAGAAGGAAGUUCAACGAGUUUGGAUAGCACCACCCACCUCGUAGGUUCUCAAAGGUGCUCCGACGAUUUUCUUGGGAUUUUUAGACACCCGGUUCGCUACCUGCGAGUUAACGAAGCCAAAUUAGGCUUAUUUGGCCGUAACUUUACAUCGGGUUUUCGUAACGUUAAUCCGAGCACACCAACGCGUCGGAAAUACCCCCAAUUAGGUUUCUAGAGGGUCAAUUGCACUUUAGAACCCUCGCAAGCAAAAGCCCCAAUUUUGGUGCCCUAGCUCAUAACAUACAUCAAACCUAGGGUUUGAUCUCAUUGGGAAGCAAAAGAAGCUUCAUUCUACGCUAAAGACUCCACAAAAACCAUCUUUAGUUCAAUCCAAACCCUAGUUUGGAUUCUACCAUGAGAGGGGUUGAAGCUCUCCUUCAAGCUUCACCUUCCACACCAUUCCAUGGUUUUGAUCUCAAAAUGAAGCAAAAGAUAGCUUCAAACACUCUAUAGGUUCUAUUAAAACCAUUUCUAGGUCCAUCCAAACCCUACUUUGAGCUUUACCACUAUUGGGGUUCAAAGCUUACCUUGUAAGCUUUCCUUUUCCAAGCUAGGGAAGGAGAGGAGGGGUCUUCUUCUCUUCCUUGCCUUCUUCUUCACCUUCUUCCUCUUCUUUUCCUUUCUUCUUCUUGUCUUCUUCUUCUCCUUCUUGUCUUCUAGAGAGAGAAAGAGAGAUGAGAGGGGGAGUGUGAGGGAGAGAAUGAGAUGAAAAGCCCUCAAAGCCCCCCACUUAACCAUUGGGUUGCACAAAUGCAAAUAGGCCCCUCAACUUUCACUUUAUUGAACUGCUUGAACUGGGCAGUUUUCGGGUUCGGGGACCGGUCUCCCAACUUGGGACCGGUCCCAGAGAGCUCUCCCGCAGCUCAGUGAGGGCCUUCGCACGAGGCAACCGGUCUCUCCCACAGAGACCGGUCUCUCGGGGACCGGUCUCUCCCCGCAGGGACCGGUUCCCGAGAGCUGGUUUUCUGGGACUUAGCCGAUUUGCAGCCUUUCUCAUUUCUCACGCGUUCGGGGACCGAUCUCUACCACCAGGGACCGGUCCCCGAGAGCUCAAAAACUGUAGUUUGCAGAUUUUUGAUUCUUUAGCUCUCGAAAACCUCCCACAACGCAUUUUUGAUCAUUUUAACACCUUCGGACUUUCCGAAGUGUACCACCCUCGCACUUUGGUCAAUUUGACUAAAGUUCGAUAUUUAUUUUUCAAAUUUUCGGUAUAUUACAUUCUCCACCCUUAAAAUAAUUUCGUCCGCGAAAUUACGCAUACCUUAACUCGUCGAUUCAAAUAGAUGUGGAUACUCUCUCCGCAUGAUCUCCUCGAGCUCCUAAGUGGCUUCUCGCGCCGCAUGGUUGCUCCAUUGGACCUUCACAUAUGGAAUUCUGCGACUCCGCAGCUUCCUUUCUUCUCGAUCGAGGAUGCACACCGGGUACUCCUCGUAAGACAUAUCUUCACGUAGCUCCACGGGCUCGUACUCCAAUAUAUGUGUCGAGUUUCGAAUAUACUUUCGGAGAUUUGACACAUGAAAAAUAUUGUGAACUCCUGCGAGUCUCGAUGGUAGUGCGAGCUUGUAUGCUACCGCACCCACACGCUCCAAUAUCUCAAACGGUCCGACAUAACAGGGACUUAGCUUCUCGUGGACCCCAAACCGCUUUACUCCUCGCAUCGGCGAUACUCUCAAAAAUACGCGGUCUCCAACCGCGAACUCUAAAUCUUUUCUUCUCUUGUCGGCAUAACUCUUUUGCCGAGAUUGUGCCGCCGCUAACCGUUGACGGGCAAGGCGAACUGUAAUGCAUUGGAAAAUUGACCUUGAGCUAAUUGUAAUCAAGUUGAUCACAAUGAUGUCAAAAUAGAAAUUAAGUGUUAAUGAACUUAAUUAGUAGAUUGAGAACAACAAUUGACUUAUUUUGGAACUGUGUAAGUGGGCUCGAAGUGAAUCGGAAGUGCCAAGUGUCACGCCCCGCCCCGAAACCACUACCAAUUUGGCACGGUUCGGUCGCGGCGACAGACCGCCGAACGGACAGCACCUCCCCUGUCCACCCAAGGCUCAACAACAGGAAUGUGUACAAGGAUUUACCCAGGACUUUAAAUUCUAAACAUACACAUUCAACGAGGGCACAAACAGUGCCAACAACGAGAAGAGCAAGUAAUCCACAAGAUAUAGUAUGUGAAAUAAAGAGAGUACUUUACUAACUAUUACAAUAGUUACAUUCUUUACAUUUACAUCAUUCUCCAAAAUGAAUACAUUUGAUCCUCAAAAUACAUAGCUCUCCAACCUCACCAUCAUGAAUCUCUCUCAAUACAUAGGUGUGCUAAUGCAAAAAGGGAAGCUACUAUACUACCACGGUCUCACUGAUCGGGCGCGAUGCCCUUGCCGCGGUCCUCUCUCGGCAACCCUGUACCUACCAC
rnacentral:lncRNA from 1 species